rnacentral:lncRNA from 1 species
AACGAUAGAUUUUGUAUUAAAAUAACCUUAAUUUAAUUUCAAAAUUAAAAAAUAUCACCUGUUCACUAUCUUUAUCUCAAAAUAACAUUAAUGCCUUGUUGGAAGUUUAAUGUAUGCAAUGUUAUGUACUAGACCUGACAUUUGCUACUCAGUAGGGAUGGUCAGUAGGUAUCAAUCCAAUCAUGGACGUGAUCACUGGACAGCCGUUAUGAUAGAACUAAGUCAUGCACAGCGGAAAAAGAAUCGAAUUUCUACCCUAAUUGCCAUAAUUAACAUCUAACCAUAAACUAAUCAAAUUAGGGUUUUAAGAAGUAUUACCUUUGAAGCUUUCAAAAGGUUUGAUGUCUUCUUACCAAUUCUACCCGAUACCACCACUAGUACUCAACUGCUAUCCUCUAGACAAAGAACCGGGUUGUGGGACCCAAUUUUGGUGUAGAAAGUAAUGGAGAUAAAAUGAGAUUGGAAGCUUUCUUUUUUCUUUUGUUGAGAUUAUGAAAAUGAUAAAAGAGGCAAAAGUCCUUCAACAUUUGAAAACAUCUCUAUUUAUAGCCUAAUUACAUGCAAAAAUGCAUGCAAUUCAAUUGCCAAAUCUCAACACCUAAUGUUCCACUAACAAUUAGUGGAACUUAGUGGGCUAGGUGUCUAUAUCUCAUAUAGCCACAUAUCCCACUAAGAGUUAGUGGGAUUAUCCAACAAAAUGUUGGAUUUUCCUACUAACUUAGUCCAAGGGUAAAAUGGUCAUUAGAUAUUUCUAGUCAAAAGUCAAAUUUGACUUUUCUAAGUCAAAAGUCAAUAUUUUGACUUUUUACCAUUUUGUCCGUCUUGACUAAUUCCAACCUCCCGAGCAUGAAUCCGCAUUCAUUUUUCCAAAAUUCAAAUCACAUUUGAAUAUAAGGCCGGUCAAAGUUUGACUUUUCAAAGUCAAAAGUCAACAUUUUGACUUUUUACUAUUUUUGACCAAUUCCGAGCUUCUUAGUAUGAAUCCGCAUUCAUACUUAUAGUAUGUAAAACAUAAAGCUCUAUUUCUAAUUAGAAGACCGACGAUUAUAUCACUGUAUAUGUCGGUUUCCUUUCUUCUCCCAAUUCGAACAAUUCGACUUAUUUCAUCACACUGUUCUAAGUUUAAUCCAUAUGAGCUAGCAGAGGAACUAAUGGACCUAUAGAUCAUGGGCUCCAACGAUUCAAGAUUAACUAGAUAAACUCUUUUAAACCGAGUUAAUCAACAUUCGUUAACUAACGGGUCAUUCCACUAAAGUCCCGUAGUUGCACUCCCCUCACUAUAGAUAUAUUUGUGUCCAUUUGAUAAAACCAUAAUCAGUAAGUUAAUCCUUCACAGGUUGCUCGUAACCUUGGCUGGGUCAAAAUACCGUUUUACCCCCAAGAUUACAUCUUGCUCCUUAAGUCCCACUAAUCCACUAUUGAACAAUUAGUUUAAGGUUCAACCUAUAAACUUAAUCCCUCUCGGGUCAAUGAGAGGGUGGGGCCCCUUGUUCAAGACUUGGAUUCAGUGCUUAAGAGAGCAACCUAUCUACUAACCCUAAAGCGGGUAGGAGUGAAUUCCAUCUUGUACCCUAUGUUCCCAGCUAUCCACCUAAUCUUACCCUUGAAAUGGGAGGCUUAUUGGGCCAACGCUGAUGAGCUGCCGUCACCUAUGCAGAUCUAAGGAUAAUCUCGUGUGAACAGGAGUUCAUAGUUAACUCAGGAUUAAGACUAAGUUACCUAGGUCAUCAAUAAUUGAGAUAGUCAGUUUUAAACAGUAAACGGUGUUAUAACGUAAAAAUGACUAAUUCAUGGUUAAGUCUUAUGUAAACAUUUUACAUAGGAUGCCCCCACUUUCAUGUCUCUACAUGAACGAUUAGGAUCACCUCGUUUGUAUUACAAAGUGGGCCGCAUCCAUAGUUUCUCAAAAUAAGGCGCCCAACCUUUAUUUCAUAUACUAUAGACUAUUUAGGCUAUAUACUCGAACUUGAUCCACGUUUAUGUUUACACAUAAAGUUCAAGUUUAUUAAAAAAAAUAGCCUUGGAACUUGAUUUAUUGGAUUUAAGAUUAUAAUAUUUAAUUUCUCAAUAACUUUAUUGAACAGAAUAUGAUUUACAAACUACGAGUUUUAGGACAAAAAUUCCAACAAACUCCCACUUGGACUAAAAUUCCUAGUGGUAUGAGAGAUGUGGUGUGAGAGAAUAUAUAUGAAACUAGGGCACGUGGCCAAUAAGUCUCCCACUUGUCCUAGUUUACAAACAUCGUACACCUAAACUGUGUAGGUGACCCUCAAACACUUUAGCCAUGAGGGCUUUUGUAAAAUGAUCAGCUUCCAUUGUGGAAUUAGCUAUACAAGUUUGCUUUAUGCUUCUCCAAACUACUGCUCCUCCAUUUAGAGUAAAUAUUGAUUCUGAUGUAGACUUUCUAACAUCUUUAUCAGUUUGAAAAUCUGAAUUAGUGUAUCCAGUAAGGAUCAGAUCCUUUGUACGAUACAUGAGCAUGUAGAAUGUUUUAUAACGGCUGUCCAAUGAUCACGUCCAUGAUUGGAUUGAUACCUACUGACCAUCCCUACUGAGUAGCAAAUGUCAGGUCUAGUACAUAACAUUGCAUACAUUAAACUUCCAACAGCGGAAGCAUAGGGAAUAUUUCUCAUAUCCUCAACUUCUUGAGGUGUCUUAGGACAUUGUUCCUUUGACGAAUGAAUUCCAUAUCUGUACGGCAGCAGACCCUUUUUGGAAUUCUGCAUUUUAUAUCUAGACAACAUUUUGUCUAUGUAAGAUGCUUGAGACAUGGCUAGUGUUUUGUUCUUACGGUUUCGAACAAUUUGGAUUCCGAGAACGUAUUAUGCAUCUCCCAGAUCUUUCAUUUGAAAUUGCAUAGCUAGCCAUUUCUUGAUAUCAGUAAGAUAUCCUACGUCAUUUCCAAUAAGUAGAAUAUCAUAUACAUAUAAGACAAAAAAUGCUAUAAUGGAAUUGACGACCUUUUUGUAAACACAAGGCUCGUCAACAUUUUGUUCAAAGCCAUAAGAUUUGAUCGAAGUAUCAAAUCUUAUAUUCCAGGAUCUAGAAGCUUGUUUUAAUCCAUAAAUGGAUUUUUUUAAGCUUACAAACCUUUUGUUCUUGAUCUUGUUCUAUAAACCCCUCUGGUUGAGACAUAUAGAUACUCUCUUCAAGAUUACCAUUCAAAAAAAGCUGUCUUGACAUCCAUCUGCCAAAUUUCAUAAUCAUAAAAAGUGGCGAUGGAUAAGAGUAUUCUAAUUGACUUUAACAUGGCAACAGGAGAGAAUGUUUACUCAUAGUCUACUCCCUCUCUCUGGGUAUAACCCUUUGCCACAAGUCGAGCCUUGAAAGUCUGUACUUUACCGGCAUGGUCUCGUUUUCUCUUGUAGAUCCAUUUACAACCAAUAGGUUUUAUGUCAUUUGGUUGAUCUACUAGAGUCCAGACAGAAUUAAAGUACAUAGACUCCAUUUCGAGGUCCAUGGCUUUGAUCCAUUGGUCACGAUCUACAUCUUUCAUUGCCUGUUUAUAGGUUAAUGGAUCCUCUAUGCCAUCGUCAGGUAUGACGACUUGAGUUUCAAUUAAACCCAAAUAGCGAUUAGGCUGAUGAACAACCCUCCCACUACGUCGAGGCUCUCUCAACUAUUGAGAAGGAUGUGAUUGUCCAGAUUUCCUAGUCUUAUCAACUACCUUAGUGGAUGAACUAGGUUUAUCUAUAGCACUUUUGGAAAUUUCUUUUAAUACUAGUUUACUACGAGGUUGAUGAUCCCUGAUGUGGUCUUCCUCUAAGAAUGUGGCAUUUGUUGACACAAAUAUUUUAUUUUCUUGAGGAUCAUAAAACAAACCACCUCUUGAUUCUUUGGAUAACCUAUGAAAAAGCAUAAUUUUGAACGAUGUUUCAAUUUCUUAGGAUUUUGUACCAACACGUGUGCUGGACAACCCCAAAUUCUAAAAUGACGUAAACUUCCUUUACGCCCUUUCCAUAGCUCAUAAGGCGUUUCUGAAACACUUUUAGAGGGAACAUUAUUCAAAAUAUAAACAGCUAUUUCUAAAGCAUAUCCCAAAAAAGAAUCUGACAUCUGAGAAAAAACUCAUCAUAGAGCGAACCAUGUCUAACAAGGUCCAGUUUCUUCUUUCUGAUACACCGUUCUGUUGAGGUGUACUAGGUGCAGAGAGUUGUGACUGGAUUCCAUUUUCUAUUAAAUAGUCUCGGAAUCGUAAGUCCAUAUACUCUCCACCUCGAUCUGAUCGAAGUAUUUUUAUUGUUUUACCUAAUUUGUUUUCUACUUCAGCCUUAUAUUCUUUGAACUUUUCAAGACUAUUAGACUUAUGAUGUAUUAGGUAAAUAUGACCAUACCUUCAAUAAUCAUCAAUGAAGCUAAAGAAAUAUUCAUAUCCACCUCGAGCUUUGACAUUCAUUGGUCCACAAAGGUCCGAAUGUACGAGCUCCAAGGGUUUUUUGGCUCUUAGACCUUUUCCAGUAAAAGAUCUCUUGGUCAUUUUUCAAGACAAGAUUCACAAAGAGGUAAAGUAUUAUUUUCUAACUGAUUUAGAAGCCCACUUUUAACUAAUCUCCCAAUCCUAUUGAGAUUUAUGUGACCAAGUCUUAAGUGCCAUAAAUAGGCAUUAGAAGAAACUUUUUGUCUUUUAUUCUGAGUUUCAGCUGUUCUGAAUAUUUCAGUAUUUAAGACAAAAUUUGCUCUUGUUGGUCUUAACUUAUAUAAGUUGUCUUCAAGUAUAGCAGAACAAACUAGAAUACCUUUAUAGAAAACGAACGCUUCAUUAAUUUCAAAAGAUAUUCUAUACAUUUGUUCCAAAAUACAAGAGAUAGAUAUUAAAUUUCUUUUCAUUUGAGGUACAUAUAAGACAUUCUUAAGUAUGACAUAUCUAUCUCUAAAAAACAACUUUAAAUCUCCCACUGCUGAAGCUGAGACCAUCUCUCCUGUUCCAACCUUGAGAGUGAUCUCACCUUCUGAAAGCUUUUUCCAAGAACUAUUUUCCUGAAAUGAGAAGCAAAUAUGGUUAGUGGCUCCUUAAUCUAGUAUCCAGGUAGAAUUUUCAUAUUCCACUAAACAUGUUUCUACAACUAGUAAAUCAUAUUUACCUUGUGUUUCCUUCUCUGCUAUUUUUUCUGCAAGGUAUUUUGGGCAGUUUCUUAACCAGUUAAGCUUGGAUUUGUGGCAGCACAUCCCACGGUCUCUUCCAUUAGGUCGCACCGUGAGAUUUCUAUAAUAUGCCUGCUUGUCUGCCCUGGAGCGACGUUCCCUUCGGAGGGUUGUAUUAUAGGAUUCGGAACACCGCGAACUCCAAAACUGGAUAGGAUUUCUUAGAUUAGUUUUCAUAAAUGAUUCUAAUCUAUAAAAUCUGAAAAUGGUGGGUAACACUUACAAGAAUUACUAAGUUGUUAGUAUAUUCUUGACUAAAGUAGCGAUAACUAAGUGCUAUAAAGAAUAAAGAGUUAUUCUUGAGAUAGCAUCUAGUCAAGAUUGUCUUGGUUCAAAGGAGGAAUAAUCAACUACCCUUCGGAGAAGGUUGUUCUAAACCUUUGAAAUAUUGUUGCAAAAUACAAAUAAUGAAAGGGUACAUUAUUAGUAAUUGCUAAAUUAGAUUGGAUAUUUUUUAUGAUUAUAGUUUUUUCCUAAAAAGAAUAUGUUUGUUUUUCAGCAUGAAUAGCUCAAUAGUUCAACUUUUAGCUUCCGAAAAACUUAAUGGCGAUAAUUAUGCGGCUUGGAAAUCAAAUCUUAACACAAUACUAGUGGUUGACGAUUUAAGAUUUGUCUUAACUGAGGAAUGUCCUCAAAACCCUGCCUCUAAUGCUAACCGAACUAGUCGGGAUGCAUAUGAUCGAUGGAUAAAAGCUAAUGAAAAAGCCCGUGUUUACAUUCUUGCCAGCAUGUCUGAUGUAUUGGCAAAGAAACAUGAAUCCUUAGCCACGGCUAAAGAGAUUAUGGAUUCAUUAAGGGGAAUGUUUGGGCAACCAGAAUGGUCCUUAAGACACGAGGCAGUCAAAUACAUUUACACUAAGCGUAUGAAGGAAGGGACCUCUGUUAGAGAACAUGUUCUGGACAUGAUGAUGCACUUCAACAUCGCUGAAGUGAAUGGUGGUCCCAUCGAAGAGGUUAAUCAAGUUAGUUUUAUCUUAGAGUCUCUUCCGAAGAGCUUCAUUCCAUUCCAAACGAAUGCGUCUUUGAACAAGAUAGAAUUUAACUUGACAACCCUUCUGAAUGAACUCCAGCGAUUCCAAAACCUAACUAUGGGUAAAGGAAAACAAGUGGAAGCAAAUGUUGCUACCACAAAAAGAAAAUUUAUAAGAGGAUCGUCCUCUAAAACCAAAGCUGGACCCUCAAAACCUAAUGCUCAAAUAAAAAAGAAGGGAAAGGGAAAGACUCCCAAACAGAACAAGGGUAAGAAAGCUGCAGAAAAAGGUAAGUGUUACCAUUGUGGCCAAAACGGGCACUGGUUAAGAAACUGCCCAAAAUACCUUGCAGAAAAAAAGGCAGAGAAGGAAACACAAGGUAAAUAUGAUUUACUAGUUGUAGAAACAUGUUUAGUGGAAUAUGAAAAUUCUACCUGGAUACUAGAUUCAGGAGCCACUAACCAUAUUUGCUUCUCAUUUCAGGAAAAUAGUUCUUGGAAAAAGCUUUCAGAAGGCGAGAUCACUCUCAAGGUUGGAACAGGAGAGAUGGUCUCAGCUUCAGCAGUGGGAGAUUUAAAGUUGUUUUUUAGAGAUAGAUAUGUCAUACUUAAGAAUGUCUUAUAUGUACCUCAAAUGAAAAGAAAUUUAAUAUCUAUCUCUUGUAUUUUGGAACAAAUGUAUAGAAUAUCUUUUGAAAUUAAUGAAGCGUUCGUUUUCUAUAAAGGUAUUCUAGUUUGUUCUGCUAUACUUGAAGACAACUUAUAUAAGUUAAGACCAACUAGAGCAAAUUUUGUCUUAAAUACUGAAAUAUUCAGAACAGCUGAAACUCAGAAUAAAAGACAAAAAGUUUCUUCUAAUGCCUAUUUAUGGCACUUAAGACUUGGUCACAUAAAUCUCAAUAGGAUUGGGAGAUUGGUUAAAAGUGGGCUUCUAAGUCCGUUAGAAGAUAACUCUUUACCUCCUUGUGAAUCUUGUCUUGAAGGAAAAAUGACCAAGAGAUCUUUUACUGGAAAAGGUCUAAGAGCCAAAGGACCCUUAGAGCUCGUACAUUCGGACCUUUGUGGACCAAUGAAUGUCAAAGCUCGAGGUGGAUAUGAAUAUUUCAUUAGCUUCAUUGAUGAUUAUUCAAGGUAUGGUCAUAUUUACCUAAUACAUCAUAAGUCUAAUAGUCUUGAAAAGUUCAAAGAAUAUAAGGCUGAAGUAGAAAACGAAUUAGGUAAAACAAUAAAAAUACUUCGAUCAGAUCGAGGUGGAGAGUAUAUGGACUUACGAUUCCGAGACUAUUUAAUAGAAAAUGGAAUCCAGUCACAACUCUCUGCACCUAGUACACCUCAACAGAACGGUGUAUCAGAAAGAAGAAACCGGACCUUGUUAGACAUGGUUCGCUCUAUGAUAAGUUUUUCUCAGAUGUCAGAUUCUUUUUGGGGAUAUGCUUUAGAAACAGCUGCUUAUAUUUUGAAUAAUGUUCCCUCUAAAAGUGUUUCAGAAACACCUUAUGAGCUAUGGAAAGGGCGUAAAGGCAGUUUACGUCAUUUUAGAAUUUGGGGUUGUCCAGCACACGUGUUGGUACAAAAUCCAAAGAAAUUGGAACAUCGUUCAAAAUUAUGCUUUUUUAUAGGUUAUCCAAAAGAAUCAAGAGGUGGUUUGUUUUAUGAUCCUCAAGAAAAUAAAAUAUUUGUGUCAACAAAUGCCACAUUCUUAGAGGAAGACCACAUCAGGGAUCAUCAACCUCGUAGUAAACUAGUAUUAAAAGAAAUUUCCAAAAGUGCUAUAGAUAAACCUAGUUCAUCCACUAAGGUAGUUGAUAAGACUAGGAAAUCUGGACAAUCACAUCCUUCUCAACAGUUGAGAGAGCCUCGACGUAGUGGGAGGGUUGUUCAUCAGCCUGAUCGCUAUUUGGGUUUAAUUGAAACUCAAGUCGUCAUACCUGACGAUGGCAUAGAGGAUCCAUUAACCUAUAAAGGCAAUGAAAGAUGUAGAUCGUGACCAAUGGAUCAAAGCCAUGGACCUCGAAAUGGAGUCUAUGUACUUUAAUUCUGUCUGGACUCUAGUAGAUCAACCAAAUGACGUAAAACCUAUUGGUUGUAAAUGGAUCUACAAGAGAAAACGAGACCAUGCCGGUAAAGUACAGACUUUCAAGGCUCGACUUGUGGCAAAGGGUUAUACCAGAGAGAGGGAGUAGACUAUGAGGAAACUUUCUCUCCUGUUGCCAUGUUAAAGUCAAUUAGAAUACUCUUAUCCAUCGCCACUUUUUAUGAUUAUGAAAUUUGGCAGAUGGAUGUCAAGACAGCUUUUUUGAAUGGUAAUCUUGAAGAGAGUAUCUAUAUGUCUCAACCAGAGGGGUUUAUAGAACAAGAUCAAGAACAAAAGGUUUGUAAGCUUAAAAAAUCCAUUUAUGGAUUAAAACAAGCUUCUAGAUCCUGGAAUAUAAGAUUUGAUACUGCGAUCAAAUCUUAUGGCUUUGAACAAAAUGUUGACGAGCCUUGUGUUUACAAAAAGGUCGUCAAUUCCAUUAUAGCAUUUUUAGUCUUAUAUGUAGAUGAUAUUCUACUUAUUGGAAAUGACGUAGGAUAUCUUACUGAUAUCAAGAAAUGGCUAGCUAUGCAAUUUCAAAUGAAAGAUCUGGGAGAUGCACAAUACGUUCUCGGAAUCCAAAUUGUUCGAAACCGUAAGAACAAAACACUAGCCAUGUCUCAAGCAUCUUACAUAGACAAAAUGUUGUCUAGAUAUAAAAUGCAGAAUUCCAAAAAGGGUCUGCUGCCGUACAGAUAUGGAAUUCAUUUGUCAAAGGAACAAUGUCCUAAGACACCUCAAGAAGUUGAGGAUAUGAGAAAUAUUCCCUAUGCUUCCGCUGUUGGAAGUUUAAUGUAUGCAAUGUUAUGUACUAGACCUGACAUUUGCUACUCAGUAGGGAUGGUCAGUAGGUAUCAAUCCAAUCCUGGACGUGAUCACUGGACAGCCGUUAAAAACAUUCUAAAAUAUGCUACAUGCUAUGGUACAAAGGAUCUGAUCCUUACUGGAUACACUGAUUCAGAUUUCCAAACUGAUAAAGAUGCUAGAAAGUCUACAUCAGGAUCAGUAUUUACUCUAAAUGGAGGAGCAGUAGUUUGGAGAAGCAUAAAGCAAACUUGUAUAGCUGAUUCCACAAUGGAAGCUGAAUACGUAGCGGCUUGUGAAGCAGCAAAAGAAGCAGUAUGGCUAAGAAAAUUCUUGACAGAUUUGGAAGUCGUUCCAAAUAUGCAUCUACCAAUCACUUUAUACUGUGACAACAGUGGUGCAGUUGCAAAUUCAAGAGAACCUAGAAGCCAUAAAAGAGGAAAGCAUAUUGAACGCAAGUACCAUCUUAUCAGGGAAAUUGUACAUCGUGGUGACGUUGUAGUAACCCAGAUUUCUUCUCAGCAAAACAUUGCUGAUCCUUUUACAAAAGCUCUCACGGCUAAAGUGUUUGAGGGUCACCUACACAGUUUAGGUCUACGAUGUUUGUAAACUAGGACAAGUGGGAGACUUAUUGGCCAUGUGCCCUAGUUUUAUAUUCUCUCACACCACAUCUCUCAUACCACUAGGAAUUUUAGUCCAAGUGGGAGUUUGUUGGAAUUUUUGUCCUAAAACUCGUAGUUUGUAAAUCAUAUUCUGUUCAAUAAAGUUGUUAUUGAGAAAUUAAAUAUUAUAAUCUUAAAUCCAAUAAAUCAAGUUCCAAGGCUAUUUUUUAAUAAACUUGAACUUUAUGUGUAAACAUAAACGUGGAUCAAGUUCGAGUAUAUAGCCUAAAUAGUCUAUAGUAUAUGAAAUAAAGGUUGGGCGCCUUAUUUAGAGAAACUAUGGAUGCGGCCCACUUUGUAGUACAAACGAGGUGAUCCUAAUCGUUCAUGUAGAGACAUGAAAGUGGGGGCAUCCUAUGUAAAAUGUUUACAUAAGACUGAACCAUGAAAUAGUCAUUUUUACGUUAUAACACCGUUUACUGUUUAAAACUGACUUCUCAAUUAUUGAUGACCUAGGUAACUUAGUCUUAAUCCUGAGUUAACUAUGAACUCCUGUUCACACGAGAUUAUCCUUAGAUCUGCAUAGGUGAGGGCAGCUCAUCAGCGUGGCCAAUAAGCCUCCCAUUUCAGGGUAAGAUCGGGUGGAUAGCUGGGAACAUAGGGUACAAGAUGGAAUUCACUCCUACCCGCUUUAGGGUUAGUAGAUAGGUUGCUCUCUUAAGCACUGAAUCCAAGUCUUGAACAAGGGGCCCCACCCUCUCAUUGGCCGAGAGGGAUUAAGUUUAUAGGUUGAACCUUAUACCAAUUGUUCAAUAGUGGAUAGUGGGACUUAAGGAGCAAGAUGUAAUCUUGGGGGUAAACGGUAUUUUGACCCAGCUAAGGUUACGAGCAACCUGUGAAGGAUUAACUUACUGAUUAUGGUUUUAUCAAAUGGACACAAAUAUAUCUAUAGAGAGGGAGUGCAACUACGGGACUUUAGUGGAAUGACCCGUUAGUUAACGAAUGUUGAUUAACUCGGUUUAAAAGAGUUAAGCUAGUUAAUCUUGAAUCGUUGGAGCCCAUGAUCUAUAGGUCCAUUAGGUUCCUCUGCUAGCUCAUAUGGAUUAAACUUAGAACAGUGUGAUGAAAUAAGUCGAAUUGUUCGAAUUGGGAGACGAAAGGAAAACCGACAUAUACAGUGAUAUAAUCGUCGGUCUUCUAAUUAGAAAUAGAGCUUUAUGUUUUACAUACUAUAAGUAUGAAUGCGGAUUCAUACUAAAAAGCUCGGAAUUGGUCAAAAAUAGUAAAAAAGUCAAAAUGUUGACUUUUGACUUUGAAAAGUCAAACUUUGACCGGCCUUAUAUUCAAAUGUGAUUUGAAUUUUGGAAAAAUGAAUGCGGAUUCAUGCUCGGAGGUUGGAAUUAGUCAAGACGGACAAAAUGGUAAAAGUCAAAAUAUUGACUUUUGACUAAGAAAAGUCAAAGUUUGACUUUGACUAGAAAUAUCUAAUGACCAUUUUACCCUUGGACUAAGUUAGUGGGAAAAUCCAACAUUUUGUUGGAUAAUCCACUAACUCUUAGUGGGAUAUGUGGCUAUAUGAGAUAUAGACACCUAGCCCACUAAGUUCCACUAAUUGUUAGUGGAACAUUAGGUGUUGAGAUUUGGCAAUUGAAUUGCAUGCAUUUUUUGCAUGUAAUUAGGCUAUAAAUAGAGAUGUUUUCAAAUGUUGAAGGACUUUUGCCUCUUUUAUCAUUUUCAUAAUCUCAACAAAAGAAAAAGAAAGCUUCCAAUCUCAUUUUAUCUCCAUUACUUUCUACACCAAAAUUGGGUCCCACAACCCGGUUCUUUGUCAGAGGAUAGCAGUUGAGUACUAGUGGUGGUCUCGGGUAGAAUUGGUAAGAAGACAUCAAACCUUUUGUAAGCUUCAAAGGUAAUACUUCUUAAAACCCUAAUUUGAUUAGUUUAUGGUUACAUGUUAAUUGUGGCAAUUAGGGUAGAAAUUCGAUUCUUUUUCCGCUGUGCAUGACUUAGUUCUAUCAUGCCUUAAAUAUCAAGAUAAUUAAAUUAUUAUUUUAAAAUUGGAAGAAACUCAACAUUAAAAAAUAUUAACUUGUUCGGACACAAGCAUAGAAGCACUGCGCACACACGUACACAUGCACACUUACACAAACGCGUGCACACGCACACCUACACAUAGACACCCACAGAUGCACGAACCCACGCACACACACAUGCACAAGCGCACGCACGCACACACACACGUAUCCACACGCACACAAGCACAUACACAUGCACAAACGCACACACGUGUACGCACAAACCUUAUCUCAAAAUAGUUCCUAUUUUUGCUGACAGUUUAUUUUUUGCCAUCGAUAGAGGAUCUUCCAAUAGACCUACGUGACAGUGUGUGUUGACAGCUUAAUUUCGUUGGCAAAAGAAAAGUUGAUUAGUUUUUGAAGAUUUACUGACGAUAUUUGUCAUCGACAAAGGGUAAAUUUCUUGGAGUGCAUGUACAUCAAACAUAUCAAAUUUGUUAAGUUUACCAAUGAAGUAUAACAAGUUUAUUAGUGGUGUAUCACGUGUAUCAAACUUAUAAGUGAAAUCUUUAAGUGUAUCAAACUAAUCAAGUGUAUCAAGGUCUCAGGGGUAUCAAGUGUAUCAAGAAGAAUCAAGUGUAACGAGAAGUAUUAUGUGGAACGAGAAGUAUUAUGUGUAUGAAGAUGUUUCAAGUGUGUAUCAAAAAGUAUCGAGUGUAUCAAUGAGUACCGAGUGCAUGAAUUGUAUCUAUCAAAUGUAUCAAGUGUAUCAGUAAGAAGUAUCAAGUGUAUCAAGGGGUAUUAGGUGUAUCAGACGUGUAUAAGGUGUAUCAAAUAUACAUCAAUAACGAGGGCAUUUGUGACAUUUUACCUCUUGAUGUGUGAGUUGGUCUUUGUUUUUGUCACUUUCUCAAAUAAUAAGGUAUGUGUUCUAUGGACUUAAUUAAUUAUAACUUAUUUUGCCAUUUUUGCAAGUGUCCCUUAAUUGUAAUACAUGUAUAUGUGACAUAAUAUAAUCAAACUAACUCAUAAAUGGACUUAAUCUAUCUCAUGGACCACAAAUUCUUCAAUUACUUGCAAAUUUGGUGAGUUCCUUCAAAUGGUGGGCGGAGAGCUUAAUUUUGAGAGAGAGGAAAAGUCGUGAAGAGUAUUUGCGAGAGAGGGGGGAACGUCGCCAAAGAGCAUUUGCGAGAGAGCUAAAGACAACGACGAUGUGGGAUGAAGUAAGGUUUUUUUCGGUCAUUGUUCACAAGUGGGAUGAAAGCUUCGAAUUAUUUGUUUUAAAUCAAAAGCGUAUGAUUGAAGGAAAACAUUGAUUUUUUAUUAGGGUAAUUUUUAAUGACACAUAAUUUAUGCCAUUAUUUACAAUGCCAAAAUUUUGUCAAGAAAACUCAAUUUGUGUCACAAAAAAUUUUGUAUUUUUAUUUUUAACGACACAUUUUAUUCCCUCAUAUCCCUUUUUCUUGAUUUCUAGUGUCAUUAAAACUUAUAUUUCUAAAUAAAUUUAUUCGACGAAAGUGGCUAGAUUGGUGGGUUCGACGGCGAAGGCUUGUUGGGCAGCAACGACAACAGUGGUUGGAGUGUGGAAUCGACGACGACAAGUGGCAAAAAAUUGAAAGGCAAGGGUUCUUCAUAACGACUCGGUAGCCCACUUCGUUCGACGAGAAUUUUUUUGCAUUUUUAGUAGAGUGAGAAAAAAAUUGCAUUAAGACUUCAUUCGACGACAUCGUUUUUGCUUAGAGAAAAUUUGAGGUUUUUACUUUGUUGUAAUUGCGUGAGAGAGGGAAAUUUUGAAAUUUUGAAAAUUUGAGGUUUUUUCAUUUGAAAAUUUUUUUAAUGACAAAAAAAUUGUCGUUAAUUAAUGACGCAAAAAUUGUGUUGAAAUAAAUUAAAUUGUGUCAAUAUGAUUGUUUUAAGAAAUAAUCCAUAUUUUUAUUUUCAACAACACAAUGUACCUCAUCCCACCUCUUUUUUCUUUUAUUUUCAACGACACAAUGUCUUGAUUAAAAUCCAUUUUUCUAGUAGUGACUGAAAAAAAAACUGGACAAAAUCAUAAUAUCUUUGAUAAUUAAAUCACCAGUUGGUUUGAACAUAUAUAAUCUUGGAUCUAUUCUAUUAUGAUAUGACCAUGGUACAUCAUGAACAUACAUUGACUAAAAAACUUAAAUUGAUGAGUGAAUGUAAUAAAUUUAAUAUUAAUUAUAUGAUCAAUACUUUACACAUGUAUAUUGGUAUAUCAGUCAAUAACAGUAGUAAGACAAAUUAUAAAAUAUAAGGGAUAAAAGUCCUACACAUGCAUGUAUGGUAUACUCUCUUGAUAGCAAAAUGCACUUAUGUCAACUCAUGUUUGAAUGCAUUUAUGUAGGAAAUUCAAUAAAAUAAUUAAGAAACCUUGCAAAAUGUGAGAGAUAUACGAACUUCAAACAAAUUUUACAAGUUUCAGCAAAAAAUUUGAAACAACUUUUAAAGUUUAAGCAAAAAGUAACCGUAGGUAGGAAGGGGAGCAAAAGUGGGGUCUCGAAUUAAUUCUGAAAAAUUAGUAGGCUUUCAAAAUUUAGGUUCUAGAAGUAGAAUUAUUGCAGAAAAAUAAAUAAUUGCAUCAUUCAAAUUGAAUCAAACAUAUCAGGAUGUUAUAUUCUCCACAACGUAUAAUGGAGUAUAAACAUAAAGUUUCUAUAUACAAAGCUAUGUAUCUCUACCCUUGACUUCUCUUUCUCUCUCUUUCUACCUUUUUUAUCCUUUCUUUCUCCCAUUCACUCAAUACACUUGCAAGAACCUUCAUUUUUUUUGUAUUUAAAUUUUCUUGGCACCAUCCUUUUUUUAAUUAUCAAGGCUUUGUUAUUGUGUACCAGUAUUGUGUCGUGCCUCCUUCACUUCUCAUCAUCAUUUUCAUGUCACAUCUCUACCUUGUCAAUUUUCGUUUUUCACUCAGCUUUCUUUCUUCUUUUGUCUUCACUACUUUCUUCGCUCCUUCUUCUCAAGCUCUAACUUUUGCUAUUAUCAACCAGUCUCAAAUGACCAUUGGAAAACCUAUCGCCCACUGAGAGGCAGCCAAUAUAGUAAUGCCUCUAAUGAUAAACUCCAAUGAAAUCAAAAGUUCUUCUUUAAGGUUUGGAAAAAUAUAUUAGAUAAACUCGGACGUGGUGAACGUGGUGAACGCAGACGUGGUGAACGCAGACGGACGGACGGUAAACACGGCAGAAGUUAGAGAUCCUCAGAGAGAACUUUGCAUUUUCGAAUGCGGUAGAGACAAGUCUAGGGCUUCGAAGGAUUCUUUCUUUUAUCCAAACAGUCAAAGUAAGCCAGUUAUGGAGGGAGGAAUACACAUUAGAGAGCUCAGUUAUGGAUGGAGGAAUACACAACUUUUUCUCAUGGUCAUUUUCCUCGUGGGCAUUCUCUUCAUGUUUCUUCUUAUUCCGACUAAAAUACAAGCACAAAUUAUUCUUUGCCUUCGUAUAGGUUUGUUUGAAGAAGAUUAAAAAAGUCCUUAAUUUAUCUCGACACUUCCAAAACCAGAAUAUAAUACCCGUGCUACAUAAAUCCCUCUUUCCAAAUAGUCGAACAUGAACUAUCCAUGCAUAUCUUGGAAUAAACAAGAGAAACCCUAACUAAACCAAAUAGAAAAUACGCUGCAAUCUAAAAUAUACUUAAAGAAACAAAAAGAAGUUUUAAUGCUGUGGGUUUUUUACUGAUCUUCUUCAACAACAAAAUAACUCAACGCCACAGUUCAAUUUUUCCUUCCACGAAUUGGGUUUUUAAAGAGUUUUCACCGCGAAUUUAUCUUUUUUGGUUCGACAAGUAACAACAUGUGAAUCCCCAAAUGCAAGGUUUUAUUAAAAAAUAAAAUAUAAUUUUUUUAAAAGUAUUAUAAUACCUAAUUUUUUUUUUUUAUAUUAAUAACCUAAUUUUCUGUCAUUGCAUACUUGAGAGAAAUAUAUUUCUCAAUUAGCAUAAUAACCUUUAUAUAGUAAAUUAAAUUUGUAGAAUGAGAAAAGACCUUAGAUCCAAAAAAGUUAUUUAUUUAUUAUUGGAGUGAAUUGUCUAAUUAAUGUAGUUAAUGGAUGGUUUUGUAACCAAAAAAAUAAUGAAAAUAAUUUUCUAAAAGAAUGAAUUAAAAGGUUUUAGGAAUUAAAAAAAAGGGUGUAACAUUAUAAAAGACUACCAAAUAUACUGUAAGAGACAUGCAUUAAAGGAGCUGAGGCAUGCAUACUACCAAAUAUACUAUAAAUAAACCAGAAUUCUUUUUUAAGAAAUUAAACAACUAAUUAAAUAUAAAGAAGAAAGAUUAGAAAAUGAAUGAUCAAACAAACUAUGACUCAUUUAUUUUUGACAGGUUCGACCAGUAUCACCUGACAAUUCAUUUUCACCAAGAGAAUAAACAUGAGUAGCCUUGGAAUCAAGUUCCUCCGAUAAAAGCCACGGAGUUGAUGGGUUAGAGACAGAACCAGAAUUUGAGUUCAACGAUGUGGAUGGAAAAUUCUGAAACUAGCAGCAACAGGAAGUUAAGAUAACGAAUUAUUUUCAAUAUAGAAAGGCUAAUUGUAAGAAGUUGUUAAUGAAGUGUCCAAAUGCAUUAUGGUAAUAUUGGGUGCAGAUUGUUUGGAAGUUUUAUCCGUGUGCUGUGAAGCACCACAGAGUUGAAGCAUAUGAAACCAGUGUUUAUCUGACAAAAAAUAGUGUCAUGAUCAUUGCCUUUCCAUUCCAUAAAUUUAUGGAUAGCAGAAGAAAGAGAACUCUCAACACAUGAAUCACCAUAAAGACACACAUGACAACAUUAUUUUGGAUGAAGUUCUAAUAUUGCAACCAUGGAGGAAAAAUCAGCAAAUCUUAAAUAGAUGUAGUAGUCCAAAUGAUAAAAGUUUGUCUCAAGAUAAUAUUUCAGUAACUGCAGAUGCAUUGUGCUGAACCUAACCUCUUGUGUUUCAUGGUAAUGAAAAAGUGUUCAAAGGUCCUGAACAAAAAGCAGAAGCAAGUCAUAAAUUAUAUAAGUAGAACACGAUAUACUGCCACUGUCUAAUUUCAUUUUUCUUUGCUUGUGGCAUGAUGGGGAUAGACCCCACUGAAACAACUGGUAGCAAGCAAUUUAACAAUUUUCUUUCAACCAUAACAUACUUAUCUAGGAGCCAAUAACACCGGCGAACAAAGGUUGGGCUAUCUAGUCCGUGGGCAUAGUAUACAUGUAUCCUUUCUACAUUACCAACCUGCUGAAGAGAAAGAAAAGAUUAUCAAAGCACACAUUUCCUUGGUUAUUAAGGUUGUAAAAGAAUGAAAAUUACCAUAAAUCUAAACAUAGUUAAUAUUAGACCAUUGAACAACCUAUAGAUUCAAAAGGAAAGACUCAAACCACCAAUAGACUGGUUAAUCAUUUAAAAUGAUCUCCAACAACAUGAUACGCAGUAUAUCGUGCUAGAUCCAUAAUUACCACAUGUGGACUCCUAUGGUAAUUUCAUUGAUGAUACGCAGCUAGUAGGCAAGAUUAUGAAAUGAAGACGGUAUGUGAGACGAUUGAAAAGAUCAAGAUGAUAAAAUUAUAGGGAUUUGAAUUUAUAUCUUAGAACACCAGAGUCAAAUGCUUAAGAUGAUUAACUGUGUUAAAUUUAACUCUAUAAUAUAUAAAUUAUUAGCAAAAACAGUAGAAAUUUCUUCAAAUUUGUAGAGAGAACAUAUAAAUUAUAUUAUAGAGAAAGAGCAUCUGAAUUAUAUUCUACAGAAACACGAGCCCAUAGCAUAUCUACUGAGUAGCAAUGACAGUGAAAAAGGGAAUAGUAAGUAACUAAUCUCAUAAACCCCUUUCUCACAUCUAACCAAGUUCUUUCACAACAUGCAAAAGCAUCAAAAUAUUUAAGAAAACUUCCAAUAUUGCAUUUGGAACUCAUUGAUUGACUUCAACGUUUAAGAGUCAUAAAAGACACAGCUUACUUUCUCACCUGUCACCACUAAGCCUAUGGCAACAUCUUUUUAUAAGAUAUUCAGCUAAUCUUUAGAUUGUUUACCGAAUAAUCGUCUAUUGUUUUGUAAUUGAUCCCACAAGCGCUUGUGCCACCUUGAAGUUUGAGAGCAACUAAUCGAACCUUCUUGUGUUCGGGUAUUGGCAUAGUCGAAAAAAUUUUCUACGUUCUUGAUCCAAUCAAGAAACUUCUCCACGUCCAUUUGACCAUUGAAGGUAGGGAGAUCCACUUUCAUACGUAUUUCUUGAUCUUCUUGAAAGUAUGGUCGAAGUCCAAGCCUUUGUUGAGGUUCUUGAUGAAUGUUCAGCAAGUUGUCUUCAUCGGAAGAGUCAUAAUCGUUUAAGAAAUUUCCAAGUACGUUGUUUCCAUACAAUCGAUUAUUGUGGAUGUGAGUAGGUUGAUUUCUUAGUAGUUCUUGGUUUACAACAGGGUUUAUUGGUUUUUCUUGUCUUUCUUGGUUUGCUGCAAUUGGGUUUCUUGGGGGCUGAAUUGCUUCUUCUAAAGGUUGGACAUGAAAUCGGGUAAAAAGGUUUGUUAAUUCUACUAACGAUUGUUGUAUAUUCGACUGCCCUUUUCGAAGUUCUUCAAUAGCUUGUUCUACCAACUGCAAGCGUUGGUUGAAGGAGGCUUCCGCGUCCAUGGAUAAGAGUGGUAGGAUCCAAGUUUUUUUAGGGAAGAGUGAGCUAGGAUCACGCUCUGAUACCAAUUGAUGCAGUAAUUGCAAAGCUAGAAAUCUUUAUGUAUAAUGCCUCUUUUUUUUAUGUCUUAUUAAUGAAAAUGAGAAGCUUUUUUAUAGGCUGGAGAUUACAAGAGUUGUUAAACUAACUUGGGGUUGAGUUAGUUUAACUUGGAGUUGAGUUAGUUAUAACUAACUCAAGAUACAAAAUUGGUAAUUCAAAUAACUAAUCCUAAACUAUAAAAAUGGUACUUCAAACCCCUCCUCUAGGAUAAAACUCAAGAAACAUCAAGAAGGGAGAUGUUCUACAUCAAAGUGUAGAGAACGAUUCAAAAUCCUUGGUGAAAGGAAUGAAUGUUAACUAAUGUGUGUUUAUGUGAAAUUGUUAUGUUAUGAGUAUGUUAAGGAUAAAGAAAGGUUUAUGCGAGAUAAAAUUAUUUGAUGUUGUUUAUGCGAAAUGAUGUUUAUGAAAAGGUAUUGCGAACGGGUCUUUGUUUAUGAAAAGGUAUUAUGAAAAUUAUUUUCCUAUUAACUCAUAUUCUCUUUUUUUAUCAAGUCCUUGCUAGAGAAAGUGGACUUUGAGUUGUUGGACUUUAGUAUUGCAUGGACAUACAAUUUUGAAUGAAAAAUCCUUAUAAAUGGGGCCUUUGAACUCAUUUGAUGGGUUGGCUAUUAUAUUUGGGCUUUCACACCAAAUGGAAUUUCUUUUUCUUAUUUACUUAAAAAAAAAAAAAAUUUACCACGCCCAUUUUUUUUCAUCUAUUUCUCUCGUCCGGUUCUUUCAUCCAACGGGUCCCACAACUCGAUUAUGAGUCUAGAGGAUACUAAGUCAAACUUAGUGGUUGUUCGAAUAAAACGCAGCUUCAAAUGUAAGUAUUCUAAAAACCUUAUUUUUUGGUUUAAUCUCGUUAACUAAGCCCAAUUAGGGUAGAAUUUCGAUUCUUUUUCUGUUGUGCAUGUCUUAGUUCUAUCAGUAACUCCUUUCAGGGUGAUAGCUCUCAUCAGCAGACUUUCCAUUGCUGGUUUCUUCCUUAGUCAUCAUUGUAUUGUUGUUUUCCACAAUAGAUAGGGUGAGUUGCAGUUUUACAUGAAAUGCACUGCUCAACCCACACUCUUUUCUCACUAGUUCCUUAUUCUCAAUCUUCAACGCAAAUUUCAUCAUCUGGGCCAACCCAAUCGGUUCCACGGUUUCCACUUCCAUUUUUAUUCAUGGGCUAAGCCCAAUCAUCAAAGUCUCCUCUAACACUACCGUUUGAAGAAAUGCUACCAGAGCUAAAUAUCGAUCAAAUCGGUUGCGGUAUUCUUCUACAUUCAUUUUCUGUUUGAUUGAGAAAAAUCUUCCAACCAAAGUUCCUUCUCGAAUUGAUCGAAACUGUACAAGCAUUCGUUCUUUCAGGUCAGCCCAAUUCUUAAAAACUUCAAACUCUUCUUGUGCUUGGUACCAAUCCAAUGCCAGAUCAUCAAAACUAAUAACGCCUGUGGUUAAUUUCUCUGAAUCGGUAAGAUCAUGUAUCUUAAAGAAGCGAUAGGCUCUAAAUGUGAGACCCAUUUCUAAUUUGAGUAAUGAAGUAAAAUUUGGCUAGGUAUUAAGAAUUUGGCGUUUGAAUAAAUCAACGAAAAGGAUUAAGCGAUAAAAAAAUUUAUGGUUAAGUAUACGUUAUUGCGAUUCAGUGGGUAGUUCGGCGAAGGAAGUUGUGCGACCCAUUUCUAAUUUGAGUAAGGAAGUAAAAUUCGGCUAAGAAUUAAGAAGUUGGUGUUCAAAUAAAUCCAUGGAAAGAUUAAGUGAUAAGAUCUUUUACGGUUAAGUAUACUUUUUUGCGAUAAGUGGGUAGUUCGCGAAAGAAGUUGUGCGAUAAUGUAACACCCCGAACUCUAAGGUAAUUAAUUUAAUCGAACCAUUCGAUAUUUUUACUCUUAAUUUUUGUUCGACGUCAUUUUUUUUUUGUCUUAAAAAAAAAGUGUUGGAAAAGUCUUUCAUAAUAAUAUAUUAUUAUUAUUAUUAUUAUAAUUAGCAUAAAAAAAAAGGAAAAGAAAAAUUAAAAUAUCUUUUUCCUCUCUCCCUCUCUCACGCGUGCGACACCCCUCUCUCCAUCUUUUUCUUCUUCUCUUUCCUGUACCCUAACCCAGCCGACCAUCAUCUUCUCCCCUUCCCUUGCCGUUCAGAUCCAUGGCCUCCGCCCACCGCCGCGUGACCCUCUGCCCAGCCCCGCCGCGUGACCUCUGUCUCCGUCGAAGCCAAGUCCAGCCGUCGUCCAUUCCUUUCCUCUCUUCUUCUCCGUUCGUGAAGCCCAGUCGCCGCGUCAGAUCGUCGAUCGAUUUUGAGGCAGCGCGCACGCCUCCUUCUAGCCGCGCGUUUCCUCUUCUUCCAGCAACGUGUUUUUUCUUCUAACCGCGAUUCACAAACACGUAACGAUGGUUUUUGUUUAGAAUCGAUUGCCGCUGCCCCUAUUUUUACUGAGAUCCGUCGAAGUAUUGUUGGUAAGAUUGAAGUUAUGAAAUUGUAGUCGUUUUCAAAACAAUUUAAGUAUGGGUUGUGAUGUUUUCAAGGUGUUCAAACGUUACGGAUGGGUUAAUUGACUAAUUUGAUAAAUUAUUCUUGAAGGUGUGAAAGGUAACCUUGGAUCACUUAAAUUCACAACCAAUUUGUGAAUUUUGAUUUCGGUUUGCCCUUAUUUGGAUUGUUUCGUGGACGAUAGUUGAUUAAGGGAGCUUCCCUAACUUUGAGGUAAGGGACUUUCUACUGGACUCACCUAAAGUUUUUGAGUUGUGUUGGACUGUAUGGAUGAUGAUUAAGAUGUACACGUUUGGUUGCAGACUAAAUGUUUAGUGUAUGUUGUAUUUGACUGGAAACAUAUAUAUAAAUACAUUGAUGUGUGAAUUGAUGUGGAUUGCCGAAAGUAUACAUGUGAAUGACUGAAAUUAUGCUUAUGUGUACAUGAUGAUAUUAAUAGAUUGUGCUGUAUAAAGAUUUGGAUGUGAACUAGUGAAUUUGUUUCGGUUGAAUGUGGAUUAUACUGAACUGUGGUUUGCGCUGGUAAAAAUGAGGGGUGUUGUGACUUUGUUGUUUACUUGACAGAUGUAUUAAAAUGUUAUCAACGACCUUCGAACUUAAGUGAGAUAGGUUGACUGUUAGAAUGUUGAGUGAAAGAACUUUAUAUUUUGAAGUAACUGAAAGAUGUCAUAAAUUACCGUAAAGAUGGUUAGAAUGGAUUGAGGGGAAAAAUUGUUAGUUUUAUUGGGAUGUAUGCCUUGUAGGUGUCCUACGGGAUCACCAAUUUUUAUGCGACCUUCGGGAGCAUUAGACUGAUAUGUGUUUCUGCAGAACACUAGACUGAAAUGUACGUCCCUCGGGGCGUUAGACUGAAAUGUGCAUCCUACGGGAUCACAAGACUGCGACUGUACAGGGUGUCCCAAUAGAAUGUUAACAAUUUAUUUUCCCCUGACGGGACCAGUAGAGGGUCUCUUACUGGGUAUUUUUAUACUCACCCUCCUUAUGUUUAAUUUUUCAGGCAAAAGUAAUAAAGGCAGCAAACCGGCGAGGGGCAGGAAGGAAGCGUGACCGCCAUAGGGACACUUUAAAAUUUUGCUUCCGCUUAGUGAUUUAUAGUAUUAUUUUAUUCGAACGUGAGAUGUUUAGAAAAUUUUGAAGUUUAAAGUAUUCAAAGAUUUGAAACUUUUUAGUUUUAUAUUUUAGUAAUUUAAGGGGCCCAAACAAAACAAAUUUUUUCUUUUGAGGUUUUAAAUUUUAAUUAACCAAGGUCUUUUGUCAAAAGUUAAUGACCGACUUAAGUAAAAAGUUGGGUCGUUACAGAUAAGAAGCGAAAAAGUCUUUGCGUAAGUUAAGAAAUGAAAGUUUUGAGUGUUAGAUUAUGUGUUUUGGGUGGUCUUCGCGAGAAGAACCAAGUGUUUCGUGGAGAAGAAGUCUACGAGGAAGCCUUGGAGUUUAAGUUUGUGAUAAGAGUUUUAUGCGAGUAAAAGUUGGUUAGUUCAGGUGGAACGUUUCUUAUAAUAAAAAUAUAAUCAAGCGAUAAGGUUAUUCACGAGAAAUGUUAAGUGGUUGAAUUUAUUCACGGUUUGGGUUAGGCGGGGAGCAAGGUUUGUAAAGAAAAUGUCAAAUCUGAUUUGACAUGGGUUAACAUGUAAGAUUAAGGAUUUGAGCAUGACUAAGUUAGUAUAAGGGAUCUAUAAAAUAGGAGAAUUUAGGUAACUAAGGAGGGGAUGACGAGAGUUUUGUUGAAAUGUUAAAGUGUUGUUGGUUUAGCCACGCGAAAAGAUGGUUGUGAGAAGGACUUCUUUAGUGAAGUUUGGUGAGUGCUUUUCAGUCAAAAGAAUUUAUGUUAAGAAACUUUAUUACGAUUUCUCUUUACUGAUUUGAAAGAAGAAUUCAGAUGAGAAUGUUUCAGAAAGAUUUCUACGAAAAGUUAUGUUUUCAAGAGCAUUAUUUAUAAUAUUAAAGCUUGAUUUGAUGACUAUGAUUUCAAUACUAUGUUUCUUUGAGAUGAUGCUAACUUUUGUGUGCACAUAAAGAGUGAAGGCCACCAUGGAGUGUACGAACUACAUGGUAAUAAGAAGCUGACUUAUGCAUUGAAAUGAGCGUAUAAAGCUUAGCGGUAUAGCAACAAAGACGAAUUUGUAUGUUCUCAGAUGUGUUGAUACAGUAGUCUAAACGCGAGGUAAUGAGACCAAGCGUAGAGAACGAUUCGGGAUCCUUGACAAAAUGAAAUAUUUUUUAAGCAUAAGAAAGGUUUAUUCGAAAUGAAAUAAUUUUCGGUAUAUUUAAAUGAUUUGAUAUUAUUUUUACAAAAUGAUUAUGAAAAGGUAUUAUGAAAGGGUUUCAUAAAACCUUGAAGGAUUUAAAAAAAAAGUGGACCAUUCAACUUAAUUCCCAUCCACUAUCCUCUUGUCCAACAUGAAACUUUAUCUUAGUAAAACUUCUUGAUCCACUAUUUUACAAAAAUAUUCAAAACAAUACAUACUACACCAAAUGUGAUAUUUUGGUAACACUUAAAAUGGUCAGAAAUACCAUUUCCUGACUUUUUUUCAUCGACCAUUAAAGAAAAAGUAUAGAUGAUGUUUCACAAAAAACUUCCAAACCAUUGUGUUAGUUAUCGUUUUGGAUGAGGGUUGGGGUAGAGCAUCAAUACUCAAAGGUUGUUAAGAAUUAAGACCUAAGACUUGAAAACGAAACGCCUGCCUGGUUGACAACAACACAUCCCACUAGAGUGCACAAUGAUGAUUUAUUGCAUUAAGAAGAAGAUGGCAGUUAACCUUAGCGGCCAUAAUCAGAACCUCAAUCCUCCCUUUGAUGAAAGCACCUAAAGGUGUCAUGCCUUUCCCCUCUACCACAUUGAAGCUCUUUGUCUAACACUACAAGAAAUGAGGACUCUCUCGAUGCAUAAAAUCAUUGGAGAUAUAUAAAAAGCGUCAGAAAAGGCUUUUCUGACGCACUAAUAUACGUCGGAACACAAGUGAGGAAAAAUGUAUCGGGAGAGGAACUCCCGAUGCACAAUGUUGUGCGUUGAGGGUUUCUAGACAUCUUCCGACGUUGUAUGAACGUCGAAGAUGUUGUCAAUAUAGCAUCGAGAGAUGUCUAGGAACCAUGCGUCGGAGAUCCUCUAUUUUUUUUAAAAAAAAACUUCAUUUAAUUCCUAAAUUCAAAUUGAAAAUUUUAAAUUCAAACUCAACUUCAACACUUCAACCUCAACUUCAACACUUCAAUCUCAACUUCAACACUUCAAAUUCAAAUUUCUAAAACCUACAACUAAUUCAAAAUUCUAACAACACUUGAAAUUAAAUUUCAUUACUAAAACUUACAACUAAUUCAAAUCUAAAUACUAAAACUAAUUUGAAAUCUAAAAUCUAACACCUAAAACAAAUUUGAAAUCUAAAUACUAAAACUAAUUAACUAAAACAAACAAUAACUAAACUAAACCACUUACCGAAUGCGACGACGAACGAGGAGACAACAGGGACGACAAUGGUGAUGACAAUGCCCUCUUCUUCUCAAUCUUCCUCUCGGUCUCCCUCUCCCUCUCUCAUUUUCUUUCUCUUUAUGUUUCCUUUAUGUAAAGAAUGGAGUUAAAAAAGACAGAGAACUCCUGACGCACGACGAAAACGUCGGAAUAGCACCCUAUUCAUGACCUGAUUUGUUAAACGUCAGAAAUCCCUAAACAUAUUCCCACGCGAUUAAUGAUACGUCGGGAAUCCCUAAAUCUAUUCUCAACGUUGCUGCCACACGUAAGAGGAAGGCGUUACAUACAAUUAAUGAUCUGCCCUUCCUCCGACGGUUCCUAAGCUUUUAGCUUUUCUGCAAUCACCCCUUAUGCAUGUUCUCAGGCGAAUCUCAACCAAACCAUAACACUCCAUCAAAAUAAAGAAGAAGAGAGACACCUCAAAACCUUAAAUAAAGUUAAGGGAGAAGAAUGGAAUGACAGAGAAGAAGAAGAGGCUUCUCCGCUGCCACACUACUCAAGAGGAGAAAUGUCCACGAUGACGCGUCUAACUCGUAUAAAAGGAAAAAAGUCGAAACCUAGACGUGGCCAUCGACCCUAAACCUCUUGCAAUCUGACCCCUAACUCUCUCAUUGCCUCCUCCAAAAUCCAAUCCUUCAAUUCCAGUCCUCAUCGAAAAAUUGAAACUCCCCCUCAUCAAUCUUACCCAAGUCCUCUCGCAUGUCUAUUAUCCUCUCACCACUAAAUCCCCAUCAUUAUAACAAACAUCCUUCACCUCACGACCUGACCGAACAAGCCUUACCCGAUCAAAAGGGCAUUGUUAGCGAAGAAGAAUUCCUUAGGGUUGAGGAGGAAGACCUGCAUCACAUUCCUCUCCCUCCGCACACUACUAUACGUAAUUCCAAGGAGGAAGACUUACAUCUCGCGUGUAAACACCGAUACCCAAUAAUCCUUAAUUCAUCUAAAGAACUCAAUAGGACAUUAGGGGUUGAUGUUAGGAGAAAGAUGGUUUAAGGUUGGAUAGUUUAGUUGAAGUGUUAUGGAAGAUGUGUUAAUAUUUUUAAGAUGAUAAAAGAAAAGUGUCAUCGUAACAAAGAAAGGCCUAAAGGGUGUUCGAAAAUUGGCUAAGUGUUGACUAGGGCAUGUUGCAUACUCUAGGCGGCCAAAAGUGUCAAGCGAACCUCUAAAGAGACAUGUUGGGUGGCCAAAGGUUGAGAUGUGGUAUGGCCGAAAGGUGUCAAGACAACCUCUAUAAGACAAGGCUAUAUGACCAAGGGUAUGCGCUAGGCAAGGAAGCUAAGCAUCUAGGAAAUGUCAAGAAACUCUAAAGAAGUUAGAACGUGGAUAAGGAAUGUCAUGCAACAAAGAGGUGGGCUAUGUGGAUAUAGGUCAUGCGACCAAUGGGGCAAUUCAACCAAAUGCUAGUCAAGAUGGCAUGGUUUGUUGAAGGCAUUGAGGGAUGUUUGGGAGAUUAGGCGAGAAAAAAAAGUCUUAGGCAUUCUUGGCAGUAAGAAUUUACUAAAGAACCCUCAUAGAAAAAGGGAUAUGCGUCCAAGGAUGAGGUAAGAUGUGCGGUAGAGUACAAGUGGACAGCAUACAAGAUACCUAAGUUUUGCCAAAUAAGUGUCUUGCAUGAGUUGGAAAGUGGCAAGUAUGGGCAUAAGAGGUGAGAAAAAAAGGUUCAACCAAAGAGCAUGCAAGGAUCACUAUAUGUACAACUUUGGACGAAUUAUGUUAACAAUCAACUUGUGUUAAUUGGGUAACUCUACUUCGAAAAUCUCCUAAAUUGAGUGUAGUAUCAAGAGAAAGGCUACCAAGAAGAAAGGCAUUGAAGUGAAGAAAGACUCAAAGGUCAUUUUCAAAAAAAAAAAAAAAAAAAAAACGUGAACAAUGUAGAGUAUUUUGAGCUACAUAACUCAAUACUUGGAAUUUGUUAGUGACACUUUGUGGUAAGCUAGUGAAGACAUUCUAAGUAAUUUUGUAGAAGGAAUCUUAUUGAUUUAAGCUUCAAAGUCGAGUUAAGUUUCUUGUAGAAAAAUCAUAUUUCUAGACAAGGCCAUGGGUGGGUUGAUUGCCAAGAUGACAAGGUGAGAUGAGCGUGUGUUUUGAGCGAAAGAGGUUAUUUAGGCUUGGGACAUGCAAGAAGCAUGUCCUGGCAUGAUCAAGCAGCCUGAGCCACGCGACAUUACACACUCUAUUAUGAAAGUUGAGUAUAUUGCUACUUGUGAAGCAGCAAAAGAAGCAGUUUUGGUGAGGAAGUUCUUGCAUAAUUUGGAAGUUGUUCCAAACAUGAACAUGCCCCAUCACUUUAUAUUGUGAUAAUAGUGGGGCAUAUUACUAAUCCAUUUACAAAGACUCUCAUGGCUAAAGUGUUCGAGGGUCUUCUAGAAAGUUUAGAUCUGCGAGUUAUGUACAUUAGGUAGUCUAGGAAAAAUGGUAGAUGUGUAAUGGGUAUGAGGAUGCCCUAGUUUAUUGUAUUUGUAUAUACACAUUUUAUGUAAUACACUUGUACAUUUUACCAUUUUCAAUGUUAGAGGAUUACUUUAUUAUGAACAUCCCAAAGAGACGAGAGUUUUAGUCCAAGUGGGAGUUUGUUGGAAUUUAUGUCCUAAAACUCGUAGAUUGUAAAUAUAAUCCAUUGACCAUUGUUAAUAAAGUGUUAUUAUUGUAAUAAUUGUUAUUGAUUAUAUUAUUAGUUUUGUCUUAAUAACUCAAAUCCAAUAAACUAACAUCCUAAACUGUUUAAUAAGUAUUGAAUAGUAUGUAGAGACAUACAGGGAUCAAUGUUCGAGAUCAGCUUAAAGGGUCUAUAGUAUACGGAUAAGACUGGGUACCUUUAUCCUGGUAACAUUAUGAAUACGACUCACUUUGUAUUUGAUACAAAUACAAUGAUCCAAUGUGUUCAUGUAGUUGACAUGCGAGUGAAGGUAUCCUAUGCAAUGAGAUUGCAAUAGACUAGACUAUGAAAUAGUAACCACUUAGUGUUACUACAUUAACUAGUUAGGUUUCUAUUUCCCUAGGAUGACCUAGAUAACUUAGUCUUAAUCUUGAGUGUAUUAUGAACUCAAUGAUCUUGGAUGAAUUUGACUUCAAAUACAAACUUGGAUUCCACAACCUAAACCAAAAUAAAAUAAUAUAUCAUGUUAAGAUGGAUUCACAUAGCAACAUUUUAUCAAAUCACUACUACAAAAAUGGGUUUACUUGACGCUAGCAACUUUUACAUACUUGACGUUUUUAUUAAAAAAAACGUCAAGUAUGAACUAUGUUAAAGAAAAAACGUCAAGUAUAGUCUUAAAAAUAUGAAGUUUUCACGAAUUUUUUUUUUAUUUUAUGUUAGCUUUAUUUGACGUUUUUUUUUUGCGUCAAGUAUAAAGUAGAUUUUACUUGACAUUUUAUUCGAGUUAAAAGUAGUGAACAUUUACUUGACACAAAAAACAUGUCAGGUAUGGUUUUAAAAAAGAAAAUUUUUACGUUAACUUUUAUAUGACAUGGUUUUCGCGUCAAAUAUAGUGGAGAUUUAUUUGACAGUUUAUUCGCGUCAAAUAUAGAGGAGAUUUUACUUGACGUUUUUUUCGUGUCACGUAUAGUGGACAUUUACUUGACGCGAAAACAACGUCAAAUAUAGUUAACAUUUUUUAUUUAACACUUUUAAAAUGUCAAUUGCCAAAAUGUCAAAUAUAAAACGUUUAAAAAUAUGAAAAUAAAAAGUACAAAAAUCAACUUAUUAAAAUAAUUUUUUAAAAUCAACUUAUUAAAAUAAAUUUUUUAAAAUCAACUUAUGAAAAUAAAUCUUUUGAAAAUUUUCACUUAAAUAAUUUGAAAUCUCUCAUUAAAUUAAAUUUACUAAAAUCUCUCGUUAAAAUAAAUUUGUUGAAAAUUUUCCUUUAAAUAAAAUUAUUGAAAAUAUUUCCUUAAAUAGAUUUAUUAAGAUAUUUUAAUGGAAAACUCAUUAAAUAAAUUUAUUAAAAUAUUUUAAUAAAAUAUUAUUAAAUAAAUUUUUGAAAUCUUUCACUAAAACAAACUUUUACAAAUUUUGACAAAAAUAAAUUUGUUGAAAUCUUUACUUAAAUUAAAUUUAUUAAAAUCUUUCUUUUAAAUAAACCUAUUGAAAAUAUUUUAUUUAAAUAAAUUUAUUGAAACCAUUUCUUUAAAUAAAUUUAUUAAAACAUUUUAAUGAAAAGUUUAUUAAAAUACUUUAAUAAAAAAUUGUUAAAUAAAUUUUUUGAAAUUUAUCACUAAAAUAAUUUUUGAAUUCAUUAAAAUAGGUUUAUUGAAUCUUUCCUUUAAACAAUUUUAUUGAAAAUAUUUCAUUAAAUAAAUUUAUUAAAAUAUUUUAUACAAAAUUUAUAAAUAAAUUUAUAUAUUUUAAUGAAAUCUUUCAUUAAGUAAAUUUAUCAAAGUAUUUUGAUGAAAUGCUUAUUUAAUAAAUAUUAAAAUAUUUUAAUGAAAACAUUAUUAAAUGUAUUUGUUAAAAACUUUAACGAAAAUAUUAUGAAAUAAAUUUAUUAAAAAAAUUAAUAAAAAUAAUUAAAUAAAUUUAUUGAAAUCUUUCAUUAAAAUAUUUUACCAAAACAGAUUUGUUGAACUGUUUCACUAAAUAAAUUUAUUUAAAUAUUUCAUCAAAGAAAUUCAUUAAAAUAUUUUAUUGAAAUGAUUAUUAAUGAAAUUUAUUGAAACAUUUUAAUAAAUUUUAAAUGGAUCAACUUUUUCCAUUGUUUAGUUUUUAGUUUGUAGUGUAGAUUAAUAACAUAUCCAAUUUAUUGGUAUAUCUCCAUAAUUAUUUACUUUUACACAUCAUUUAUCACUACUCACAUAAAAAAAAUUACAAAUUUUGUGACAUGAUUAGACAAUUUGAUAGACAAAAAUAGGUGAUAUCCAGGAGAUGCAUAUCUAAAUAUUGUGUUGGUAAGUGAUAUAAUAUUAAGUUCUCGCACAUCAACUUGAUUUUAUGAAGUUUUGUUUAAUAAAAAAAUCAUUUUAUUAAAGUGAGCAUAUAUAACUCAAUUCAGUUAUUUACCAAAAAAAUUAAAAUCAAGAUAAUUUAGGGUUUCUUUUUUUCUUUUUUGUUUCUUUUUAUGGAAAGAUUGAAGAUCUUGGAAACCUAAAACAUAAUUUAAGAAAAUUGUUUAAUGAUAGCGAAAAUUAAGAAUAAAUUAAUAAAAACAAAUAAAUUGAAACAAAAACUCACAAACCGCUCUAUUUAAUUUUUUUUAAAUGAUAUAAUUAAAAAAAAUAUUAUCAAAAACUAAGAAAUAAAGAAAAAUAAUAAUAAUAACAAAUUGAAAACAAGGUACAAAUCUAUUGUUUUCUAAUUUUCACCCUUUCAACUUAUUUUCUAUUAUCAAUUCCUAAUUUCUCCUAUAAAAACCUUCUUUCCUAAUUCAAAAAAUAUUCAUCAUCUCAAAUCUUUAUAUUCUCAUGAUCAAUCCAUGGAUCUUCCUCAAAAGUUAACAAAAACUCAUGUAAUUUUCUUUCCUUUUUAAUGUUUCUUUCAUUUUUUUCUAUAGAAAUUUUCAUGUUGAUUAUUAAAAAUGAUUAGUGGGCUUUUUUUUCAACUUCCUCAAUAACACUUCUUUCCUAUAUAUUGUUAAAAAAGGUAUCCUAAUGAAAAGAUGAAAAAUUUAUUGCUUUUCAAGUUUUAACCUUAAAACAAUAUAUAUGGAAAAAAUUUAUAUUUAUAUAUUGUUAAAAAGCUUGUUUUAUUUUAUAUUUAUAUAUGAAAAAAUAAUUUUUUGAAAAGUUUAUCAAAUAUAUUUAUUGAAAUAUUUUAAUUAAAUUUAUUAAAUUCAUUUAAUUAAAAAUAUCAAGUAAAUAUAUUAAAAUCUUUUAUUUCCCUAUUUUUAGUAAUCCCUCACGUCUCCACGAUGAAACCCUAUUCUCAUCUCCACGCUUCCACACAACACAGGCGAACGGCCACUUCUUCGAAUCGACGGACGACUUCCACACAACAGAGAGUGGCAAACGGCGAAUGGCUUCCACACGACGAACGCUUCCACCCGCGAACAGCUUCCACCCGCGAACAGCUUCCACCCGGCGAACAGCUUCAACCCGUUGCGAAUAGCUUCAACCCGACGAACGGCUUCCACGCAGCGAACAACUUCCACAGUGAACGGCUUCCACGACUGCGAACAUCUUCCGCACGGCGAACUGCUUCCGCGUUCAAAGGUUUUAUGCUCCUCAUUCUUAUUGUAUUUAACAUUUUUCAAUGAAUAAUGCUCCUUGAAUUUGAUUUAUAUCUUGUAAUUAAGGAUGAUAUUGUAAACCCAAAGUGAGAAACACACAAGAGAAGAAAAUUGAGAAUGACUCUUGUAUAUUUAUAUAUUUAUUUGUGUUUAUGUUCAAAUUCGUAAACAAAUGGUAUAAUCUAAUUGACAAUAGAGAAGACCGAUCAUUUUUCUUUAUUUGUUUUUUUUACAAGAAUGAGUAAUUGAAAAUUAAGGGAGACUCUUGGAUGUUUUUUAGACCGUAAUUAAUUUGUUGUCGUUAUGGUUAUAAUUAUCAUAUUGAUUUGUUUAUAGUAAUGAGUAAUGAAUUGAUAUUUACUCUUGGUAAGAUUCAUACUUUUGAAUGCCAUUUUUUUUUUAUAGUAAUGAGUAAUGAAUUGAUCUUGUGUGCAUCAUCAUAUCCCAAUUACACAUGCAUCUUGGAAGCUGUGGCGACUGAGUUGAAAGAAAAAGUAUACAAUAUGAUUGAGGUAUGUAAUAUCCUUCUCAUUUGGAAAUCAUGCAAAUACUACACAUUUAUUGUAUAUUUUGAGUCAUACUAUCUUGUGGUUAUCCUGUAGCCUUGGUAGCCCAUAGCCUGUAUAUUUUGAGUCAUACUAUCUUGUGGUUAUCCUGUACCUUGGUAGCCCAAGCCUUGGUCUUGUGGCUAUCCUGUGAGCCUGGUAGCCCCGUAGCAUUGGUAGCCAUCAUGUAUAUAUUACACAAUUAUUGUAUAUUUUAAGUUGUAUUAUGUGUGGCUAUCUGCAAUGGUAGCCAUCAUGCAUAUAUUGGUAAAUGUAAAUUAUUAUAAAAUAAUUUUAUUUUAAUCUAGCACAUAAUAUAAUAUAUAUGCAUUGUUAAUUGGUUGUGUUAUGUGUUCUUUACAAGUAGGUACGGUUGAAUGUGUAUAUAUGACAUGAGAUACAUGAAGAAAUUGUGAUAAGGACACAACAUUAUCACUGGUGCGGUAUGUUUUAAACUAUUUACAUUGUAAAGUUAUAGAUAGUAUAUUAUGACUAACUCAAAUAUUUUACAAAGUGUAUUCUAUAUACUUUUUAUGUUUUAUAGAUUGAUACAAGAAGCCCAUACACACAGCUUGAAUUGGAUAGACGAGGGGAGUGGGCUGGAUUUUUAGCUCGAUACAUAUGAUAGACACACCUAGAUAUGAUCAUGUUAAUUUUGUAAAUGGCUAAGAUAUGGGAAUGCUCAUAACCUUUUUUGUGGAAACGUUUUGUUCAUAGCCAUUAUGAGGGCAAAAGAUAUAUGGGGAUAGACUUCAAUUUUGAUUAUAUAAGACAACUAUUAUCAUUUAAUAUUUUGGAAUAGGACACAUUAGGAAAUUUAGUUGGCUAUAUUGGAUUGGAAUUGUGUAAUUGUUGAUGACAUUGUUGAGAAUAAUGAAAUUAUUGUUGGUUACAUAUUAUACUAAACUUUUUGUCUUUUUUUUGUUGUGUAAUUGUUCGUUGGAGAAUUUGUUUUGUUGGAUAUGUCUUAUUGAAGUAAAUGUAUGUAAUGCAGGAAAUAAAUGAAAAAGAAAAUUUAGUAUAUUAUAAUAUUUAAUAAAUGGUAUAAAUGACAUUAAAUACAUGUCACAUAUACUAUCUUAUUUGAGUCAAAUAUUACCAUUUUACUUGAUGGAUAUAUAGUGUCAACUAUAAAAUUUUACUUGACAUAUACAUAAUGUCAAAUAUACUAUCUCACUUGACAGGUAAAUAAAGUCAAAUAUAUAUCUUACUCGACUUGUAAAUAGUGUCAAGUAUACUAUCUCACUUGACAGGUAAAUAGAGUCAAGUACUAUCUCACUUGACAGGUAAAUAGAGUCAAGUAUAUAAUUUACUUGACGUGUAAAUAUUGUCAAGUAUACUAUCUUACUUGACACAAAAAUGAUGUCAAGCAAUAGAGUACUUGACGUUUUUAGUGUCAAGUAAUAGAACUAUACUUGACAGUCGAUUACUUGACGCUUUUUAAAACGUCAAGUAUAGAUUUACAUGACACUGUAUUAAUGUCAAGUAAUUCAAUUUUUGUAGUAGUGAAUGGUUGCAAUGUUUCAAAUAAGCAACAAUUAAAAUUCACAUAUCGAUUUGGCAUCUAUAAAUAUACAAACUAAAAAGUACCUAAAUGUCAAUUAUUUACCCAAUAAGGCUAACUAAGUAACCAACGUCUAAUAUGUUUUGCAAUGAAAAAGGUUGCCAUAUUGUUAAUUUGGCCAUAUUGUGAAGGCAACCUCUUAGAUGUAUUUGUGAGAAAGGAAAGAAAUACAAAAUAAGUAUGGACUAAGAUAGUAUCAAAUAAAGUUAAAGUUGAAUUUUAAAGCUCUAUUUUUUUCAAGAUAGAGAAAUUUCAGCUAAAGAGGAAAACACUAAGGACAACCAAGCAAAAGUCUAACAAAUAUCAAAGAGAACAUGCAGGAAGAAAGAUGUAAAUAAGGUUUUAUCCGCACCAAGCAAAAAAGUCUAACAAGUAUCAAAAGCUUCAUAAGUUGUACUAGAAUUCAAAGCUCUAAACUCUAAAGAAUGUAAAUUUCUUUGAAGAAAUUUGUGUAUAAAGACCACACAGUUGAAAAUUCAAUACCUUUUCAAGAAUGUUGUUGAGAAGAUUAUUGUGAUGAAUCUUUGAAUCCAAUUAUGGAGACAAGAUAAAUAAUGAGUUCUGAUUCUAACUGACUGAAUGAGAGUUUAGAAAAUAAGACAUUGGAGUUUAAUUAUCAGCAUUUAUUUUAAUCAAACUUACGAUAGAACCAAAAUUAUAGAGAAAAGAUCAAAUGCUAGGAUAAAGGAAUAAUCUUACAUUGGUGAGUUCCAAAUGUUGUGGUAGUCACGAGAGUUAUUCCACUCGAAUUGUCUUAGACAAGAGGCUUCCAUUCAGCAAGUACUGGUGAGAAUUAAAGUGGAAUGACAAACUUAAAAACACGUAAUCUUUAACAACUUUUCCGACUUUUUGCAAUUAUUUUUUAACACAAGAUAUCAAAACACACUUAAAAACCAUAACAACCAAUUACCAUAAAACGGUGUCCAAUAACAAUAAUUGGGUCAACCCAACAUCAUCAAAUUCUUGGGAAAGGUUGUGGACUAGACUUCACCAUCUUGCCCCUAAACAAGUUAAAGCUUAAGGAAAGAACACAGUAGAACAAAAAUCAUAAACUCAUCAGUUAGAUAGUAUUGGUGGUCAAAACCUCAAGGUCUCACAUCUUCCAUUUUAUAUUACCAAAUUUGAAAAUGAUUUUUAAUAUAUGAUCAUUACUUGAAACAUGUUGGUGUACAAGUGUGAAUGAAACUAAAUCAAGUUUGUGUUUUAUGUUAUUGUUUUUGACAGUAUAUUUAUGUGCCAUGCAAUCCAUGAGAGUAUAUUUAUGUGCUAUGCAAUCUAGAAGGGGGAAUGCAACUAUACCCAAUUCAUAAUUGUAUUUGAACACUAAUGAUUUUAGCACAAAUUCCAUCUUUCCAUUCUCUAAGACAUAUAAACCUUAUCUCCUGACUCUAUACCUUGGCUAUAGUGCUCUUGCAACAUAUUAAAAUUCUCGUAAAUAAAAAUUAUACACAAUUUAAAUUAAAUUAAACAUCAAGACCCAUGACGAAGAUGAAUCUCUGUUCAUUUUUCUUUUUAUUAACAACAAAAGUUUUUAGGUCCACUUCUUUCAACAACCUCCUCAAGGAUCCUUAAUUAUCUCUUUCCAAGUUCAUAACCACUCUAGUCAUGCAAAGAUUAAGGUUCAUGGCCAAUCAACAAUUAAUCUGUGAUUAAGAUAUUAUGAACGUUAUUCACAUAAAAACAUGAAAAGAUUAAGAGCAAAUAAUCAGAUGCAUUACAAAGAAUAAUUCAUAAACUUUGUCUACAUCUAUCCCUAGGAUUAAGAGUUUAGCUGCCCCAUACUUCACAAUCUAAAACACAAAACUCAAUACAAUACCCAUAACAAAAAUUCAAGGAGAGAAAAAGAAACGAAGAAGAAAAGCUAGUGAUUCGUAUUAUUAUAAUACUGUGUAUAACAGUAUGUGUUUUUUAAUAUUCUCUGUUUCCAGCUCCAGUGUACCAAAAUACUAUCACAAACUCCACAAUCCUUCUCUUUCCAAUCCCUAAACUAACCAAUGAAUCAUAUUUGCACGCUUGGUAGCCUUGUUCAAAAUAUUAUAUAUUACAAUUAUAAUAACUUAUAUCCCCCUUUUCAAGCCUAAAAUGCAAAACCUUUCUUCCAUUCUCUAAGGCACAUUUCCUCUUCUUUAAUUUUGCAUUCCAAUUUUAAAUAACAAAUUACAAAUUUUAAUCACAAAGGAAAAAAGGAAAAUUAUUACCUUUAGAAAGGGAAGAAAAUGAAUGAGUAACCAUGAAGGAUUUGGAAACGAAUAGAGGUUUAGCGAAAGUGGAAUGCGACAGAAGGACGGUGAACGUGUUUACUCAUUUUCAAACAGAGAAUGUGUUUACACAUUUCGAACGGUGAACAGACAGACGCAAAUCAACGAAGGUGAAGGGAACGCAAAGCAGACGAACGGUGACGGACGAUGAACGCAAAUGAAUUAAGGUGAACGCUGAUGAACGCAAAGGGAAGUCUUUUUCGGCGAUGAACGCAGAUGAAUGCACAAAUGAACGCGAAGGGAAGGUUAGGUGAACGACGCUUUUGAUUUCGGGUGGAGAAGGGACAAAGUCGCGGCGAAUUAGGUUUAAUUAAGAAAAUGGGAAGUGAUCUAAUUGAAACGUUGCGUUUUGUAAAAGAAUAUUCACACAAUAAUUUUUUAGAAAUUUCUUGAUGUUUUUAAAGACUCAAAAACAAAUUAAAAUUUCUUGAAGUUUUUAAAAACAUCAAUGAUUUUUUAGAAUUAUCUUGACGUUUUAAAAACGUCAAGAAUUUUUUUAUAAAUUUCUUGAUGUUUUUAAAAAUGUCAAGAACUUUUAGAAUUAUCUCAACAUUUUAAAAACGUUAAGAAUUUUUUAUAAAUUUCUUGACGUUUUUAAAACGUCGAGGAAAACUAUAUAUUAUUGACGUUUAAAAAACGUCAAGAAUGUUGAAUUCAUAAACAUUCUUGAUGUUUUUUAAACGUCAAGAAAAAAUACAUCUUACUUGACGUUUAAUAAACGUCAAGAAAGUUGAAAAUUGGCCUUUCAUAAAAAUUCUUGAGGUUUUUUUAUUUAAAAACGUCAAGAAAGGAAAACUACAACCGUCAAGAGAGCCUAUUUUUGUAGUAGUGAUUUUGGGGACAAGACUGAGUGGGGAGUUGGGAUUAUAAUUAAAAAAAUAGAAUUCACUCAUUUCCUACUUUAGGGUAAGUAGAUGAAUGUUAGCUUAAAUGGUGGCUCCAAAACUUGGACAAAGGGUUCGUACCCUCUCUAUGACAUGAGAGGGGUUUUUGUUUAUUAGUAGGACCAUAAACAAGUUGUUCAUUAGAGGAGCACUGGUUUUUAAGGAUUAGAGGUAACAUAGGGGUAAAGCGGUAAAUUGAUCCAACUGGUGUUACAAACACUCGUGAAGGACUAACUUACUAUUAUUGGUCUAUAUCCGUGGACACAGACAUAUAUUUUUAGUGAGAAGAGUUCAGUUGUGAGUCUUUAAUGGAGUGUACACACAGCUAACGAAUAUUGAUUAAUGUGGUUAAUGAGUUUAGCCAAUUAAUCUUAGAUCGUUGUAGCUUUUGAUAUGUAGAUCCAUUAGGUCCCUUUCCUAGCUCGUAAAGGGUAAUGAGAUUUAUUUAUAUUGGUUGUAAUUUAAAAUGUUUAAAUUUAACUUGGGAAUUAGUAUAAUGUAUAGUGAUACAUUAUAAUAUAAAGUUUAUCAAACUUUACUAUAUAAAUUUAACUUUGGGGAUGAUUCAAAAUUAAUUUAUGAGAGAUAAAAUAUUUGAAUGAGUUCAAAUAUUAAUUUAAUGUGAAUUGGAUUCAUAUUAAAAUUAUUGAGAGAAACUUAUUUUGAAUAUGAUUCAAAUUUAAUUUAAGUUAAAUAUAAGAUAAAUAAUUUAGUGUUAUUAGUUAAUUGGAGAAUUAAUUAAUAGUUUAGUUUAAUAUUAUUUAAUUAAAUUCGAUUUCAUUAAUUAUUAACUAAUUGAUUAAUGUUUAAUUAAUCAGUAGAUUUGAAAUAUAUCUAUUAAUUUAAUUAUUUUAAAUUAAUAGAAUCUCAUGGUUCUCUUCUACUUCAUUUUCUAUUCCUAGAAGGAAAGAGAGUUAUAAUAUCUAGAAGAAAACAAUUUUCUUAAAAAAAUGAAUUAAUAAAAAAAGAAAAAAAUAAGGCUAACGAUAUUGCUCUUUGCAAAAAGAAAAGAGUUUCUGUCAAAUAUCUCUAAACUUUUUCCCAUCCCAAUUGGUUCCACAAACCAAUCUCAUCCCAGAGGUACUCUUUGCAAUUUAAGCUCUCUUUGCAAUGGACAAUCUUCAAAGUUUUUUUUAACGAUGUUUCCAAUGCUUUCCUUUCUCUCUCAUGUUUAAUAAAACCAAUUUCUCGUAAAACCUGUAGGGAGGCUACAUCGUAUCGAAUUUCAUACAACUGACGUGUUCAUCGAGUUACAACAAGUGCUGCACAAUUGUCUGUUCUGUGUUUGGAAAGUUGUGAUUGUGACACGCUGCACAUGAGGUUAGAAUGAGACAUGGCAAGGCAAGCCCUACGCGCGCCUGCCAACUUCUGCCACAAUAUUUUGUACGCAAGCUAAUGUCUUUGGGCUGUUUUUGUGGUUUUUGGAAAUUUUAAGCAAAGUUUUGAUAUUUUAGAUCUGAAGGAGAUAGAACAAGUUUAUAAGCCAAGGGUCCAAGCUACUCUCGAUAAGUGACAAAAAUGAGUUUAAAGUUGAUUUCUAAACAUGAAUUUACUAUCAAAUGUUUCAAGCAUGCUUUGAUGUUUGAAUAUUUGAGGAUACUGACUUAUAAUGUAUUUCCAAAGCAUGAAUUUAGAAACAUUUUGGUAAACAUGUUUUUAUUGAUGAAUUUACUAAUGAAAAUUAUAAGCAAUCAUGAUUGUGCUAAGUUUUCAAAAUGUUUAAGCUUGAAAUAAUAUUAGCAUGUUUUAGUGUAUACCUAAAAUAUUCUAAGAUAUAUAGCAACCCUUCGGAGAGAUUUUUCUUGUGCAUAGAGGUCAUUUGAUUUGGAUAUUCAGUAAAUACCUAGCUUUCCAUCAUUGGUUUAGAUAAGAGAUGAAGACUUCUAAAGAUGCUUAGUUUCCCAUCUCAAGGGACGAGACCCUGUACGAAUGCUAGUUUUCCAUCUCAUUGUAUUAUAACGAGAUAGGGCACAAUUGAUGCCUAGAGUUUCAUCUCGUAAGUAUCGUAUCACGGGAUAGGGCUUCUAUGCCUAGUUUAUUGUUUUUCGUCUCGAUGAUUCUAGGUAUAGCAACUGAGAGGGAAAGUUUGAGAUAAGUUGUUUGAGUUUGAUUUCAUUUAUGUUAAGAGUUAAUUGUUAAAUACUUGUUAUUUUCAAAACGAUGUUUUAUAACACAAUCACUCAUUGGGCUAUUUAGCUCACUCUUUGGAUAAAUAUCCCAUAUGGAUUUACGUUGUUUGGAAAAUUAAACUGUGCUUUAGUACUUCAAAGAAAACUUCCCUCCCAUGUCCUCUCACCUCAUGUCUGCCCCAUUUGUGUUGAUAACAUGAAAAAUAUUUAGCACCUUUUAAUUGAUUAUGUCUUUGUAUCGAAAUGUUGGUUCCGUCUUCUCCAAACAUUCAAUAUUUGUUGGAUUUUUGCUCAAUCAAGGCUUAUCUUCUUUUGUUCUCGACCUGCUACCUAUGAUUUAUGAUUUUGUUUUGGACAUAUUAUUUUAUCAUUUGUUUGGUUUAUAUUUGUGGCUUUUGUUUUGUUUUGUUUUUUUUUUUUUUUUUUGAAAAGGAGACAACCUCUUUAUUAAUAUUAAAAUAAUAAUAAUAAUUAGACAAAAGCUCAUAGUACAAGAGAGUUAUACAAGGAACAUGUAACUAAAGAUGCUUUUGUUUUGCUUUUGAUUUUGAUCUUGUGUUGUCGCUUUUUGGAUGUGAUGAGGGCGCUAAGGGGGUGUCAACCUAGUUGAGAUGUCCAGGUGCGUCUGUUGAUCCUCCAUCCUAUUGCUCUUUGUAUAAUCCUCAUGACAUUGAACUUUGUCUCUUCAUUUUUCAAUAUUAAUAAUAGUGAACUCAUAUCCUCUUUUUUUUUAAAAAAAAUAUGGGUUAAUUUGAUAAAAGUGUUGCUAGCAGAGAUUUGGUUUGAGCACAACCAACACAUUUCCCAUGAUAACAAAAGGGAUUUGCGUGGUGAAAAUAGAUCUAUUAGAUCUCUUGGAGCAAUAAAAAAGAAAUAAGAUCUUUAUGUGAAAGUCGAACUUUUUUUUAUGGAGCAUUGUGAAGAAAGGCCUUUACUUUUGGGCAACAUUGGAAUUGGGGCAUGGUUGUGCGCUUAUUAUCAAAAGUUGUCCCCUAACGAUCAAACUGGUUCACUGUUGCGAAAUGGUGGGUUAGUUUAGGACAUGUCAUUAUUCUCGAACCUUCAGAUAAAUCUCCUUAUCUUAGGGAAUUAAAAGUUGUUCAACACAGGCUUGAAACAGACAUGUAUAGGGCUUCUGUAUUUUCCCAUAAGGAGCCAAUGAUUGAUUAUAUAUUGGUUGUUUUGCAAAGGGAAAGAUUUCCCUAACACGUAUUGUAAAAAAUAUGUAGUUGGCUAGUAGUGAAAAGUUAGCAAGGCUAUUCAUGUUUCUCUUGGUGUUCCCUCUCACUCAUCUUGAAGCUUAUUGUGGGCAUUUUGUCAACUUACUUUGGGUUUCUUUUGUCUUCUGUUUUAAUUAAUUACUUCGUACUUAUUUUACAUUUUAGUUUUCAUUAGUGCGUCCUGGAUAGAGGAUUUCGUUUAGCUCGUUGUUAUUGUUGAUAAAAUUAAAAUGCCAACGAUUACAAUUCUUGAGAACGGACUCAUCUGUUUCCAAUUCAGAUGCCCAAAACUUGUUGAAUGGAUCCUACCUCGUUGAUCGCGACAUCUUGCUGGCAAAAGUAUGCUCCUCCGUAAAUGGACUCCAGGUAUUGUCCCUAAAUCCUUUGUUUUUUAUUAUGUUCCUAUAUGGAUUAAACUAGGUAGGAUUCCAAUGGAGUUAUGGACAGAUGUCAGAUUGACUGUUGUGGCUAGUGCUAUAGGCAAACCUCUAUCUUUAGAUCUAGCUACUAAGGAAAGACGAAGGUUGUCACAUGCUUGAGUAUGUGUUGAAUCAAAUGUGGACUCUCCUAUGCUUGCUGAAUUUACAAUUCACCUUAGGGGAGAGGAUUUCGUUAUGACUGUGAAUUAUGAGUGGAAGCCUCGAAGGUGUAAUUUGUGCCGGUCUUUUGGGCAUUCUAGUGGUAAGUUCUAAGAUUGUGGAAAACAAAGUUCAUCGAGGAGGAUGUGAGCAAGGUGGUUUCAAACAAAGAGGAGGAACGGACAAUUGUGUCUUGUGGAUGUGGUGUUAGACUUAAAUAGUUGGAGGAAAGUAAGACUAAUAGCUCCCCCAUUAGGCAUAUUAAGGAAAAGGAGGUAGGUAAUCGAGAUGAAAUUACUCGUUAUUAGGAAGAAAAGAGAGUUGGUUUAUGUUCGAGAGAAGGGUAAACGUGUGGAUGUGAUUAUGCCUAACUCUUUUGGCAGCCUUAUGAAGUUGGGUGAGGGAGACAAGUGGACCUUAUCUAUAGUGGAUGACUCCCCUCCCCCCUUACAAGUGGAUGAUACUAUUGUUCUUAGGCGUAUGUUAUUAAUCACCUUAAGAUAAUUUCAAAAUAUAAAUAUAUUUUUAGUAUAAGUCCUCACGUUUGACUCUAGACUCACCAAGAAACCUUAUUUGGAUAAGAAUAUGACAAAAUUAGUGAUAUUAGAUGACUAUCAAACGAUAAUCAUAGGGUUAUCAACUUUUAAAUUUACUACUUUUAAAAUUUAGAAAAUGUAGUGACAUGAGUCAUGUGAUUAUAAAUGUUUUUGUUAUUUUUGCAGGGUUCCAAAGAAAAAAGAAAAAAGUAAGAUGUGAUUGAUAAUAUGUGAAAAAAGGAAAAAAAUUAAAGAAAUAUAACUCGAUAUAUCUAAUUUGUUUAAAAACGACCCCAUUUGUAAUUUUUCUUUUCAAAAGUCACACAACAUCUUUUUGGAAAGUUUUUUUAGAGAAGCAUGCCAAUACCUUCAUCCUACGUAUGUAGAUGUAUUUAUGAAUAAUUUUUAAAAGUUCAAAACAAUUUUUUUUAACAUUUCAAAGUUUAAGGUAUUUUUUUACACAAACUACAAAAUUCAAAAGAAUUUUUUUUGUAAUUUAACUAAAUACUGUUGUAUGUAUAUAUAUAUAUAUAUAUAUAUAUAUAUAUUAGUUAUCUUUUUUAGUCCUAUAUUGUAAAAAAUAUGAUUAUCGAUUUAUCGAAAUCUAAUUUGUAAAUGGCUUAAAACAUUUAGUUUGUUGAAAAAAAAAGGACAAAACAAUGGACCAAUGGACAGCUAAUACGAGUCGUGAACCGAAUACACAAAAUUCUCUAAAUCCAAUUAAGCAAGAUUUCAAAAAAAAAAAAAAUCUAAUAAAAACCCUACAUGUACAGUCUCUCUCAUUUAAAGUUUCUUUCUCCUCUUCUCUAACGGCCAAGUCUCCCUCUCCCCCUCUUCUCCCCCUUCUCUCUUGCUCUCUUGUCUUCUUUGGCCUAUCUCUCAAUUUCCGUUUCUGUAAGGAAGAAACCCUAUCAUACCCAUUUCGCGGAUCCAUCUCCAUCUUCUUCUCUUAGUCGCGGAUCCAAUCUCCAUCUUCUUCUCUUAGUGCGUCCUUUCCAUUUCUUCGUACACUCCAUUUUUCCUUUCUCUUCUCAAAACCCUAAGGCCUAUCUCUCAAUUUCCGUUUCUUUAAGGAAGAAACCCUAUCAUACCCAUUUCACCGAUCCAUCUCCAUCUUCUUCUCUUAGCGCGUCCUUUCAUUCUUCUUCUUUUUCUUUGUUCGUACACUCCAUUUUCCCUUUCUCUUCUCAAACCCUAAUUCUCUUUAAUUAAUUAAUUCCCUCUCCUUUCUCUCUCACUUCCUCCCUCUUCCAUUAAUGGCAGGUUCUCCUCAUCUUACUCCUUUCUCCAGUGUUGAUUCCUCCUCUACUUCGACUUGUGAUGCUCUUUUCUUCUUCCCUCGCAAUUUCGAUUCCACCAUCGUCACCGAUUUUGGUUGCAAUUUCUACUCUCUUCAACCUCAACCUUCUGGAUUCCCUCAGUCUCACCGGAUUGACUUCAAUGUCCUUGGAACCUCCACUACUACUACUAGUACUCCACUCAUCAAAGAAUCCGCUGGAUUAUCAGACGCUCCUCUUCCUUUCCUUUCUAAUCCUUGUCUCUCUUCCAACUCCAGUGGUGAGCCCCCGAACAAAUCGCAUUACUCCGUGAGUUCCCAAUUAAUUCCAUCUUUAUUUAAUAUUCAAUUAUCCUCUUUCCAUUUGUUUCAAUUAUUGAAUAGAAAGUUAAUUGAAUGAACUAUGUUCCAAUAAUUUCAUGUGGUUCUGGUAAAGCACAGUGCAUCCGGUCGAACUUCCCCCAUUAUGUAAUUUUAUGGAGGUAGUUUUGUAAAUUGGAUUGAAACAGGGGCUAUUCAAUGUGUAUGCAUUAAAAUAUAGGGAUUGUUUUUCAAUUAAAUAUAAAUUGAUUGAGCCUCUGAUGUGCUAGAAAGCAUCAGAUCUCCUCUGUGUAUAUAUAGUUAGGUACUCUUCUUUUUUUUAUAGGUUCCAUCAUAUAUAUCACGGUCUGAAGUUGUAGCUAAACUUGCUUUCAUCUUCAGUUUCUAUCAUUAUUUAAAGGUCAGAUUUUGUUCGAUUAGAAGAAUGUAAAUUUGUCAAGGACAAUAGCAUGCUUAGUUUAAUUGUACUCAAAUAUUGUUACUAAAACAAUUGCUUUAUUUGUGUUGAUACCAGUAUUUGUGUGGUAGAUCUCUUGAUUCAUUUUGAUGUUUGUAUUUUGAAGACAUACAAAGGUCAUAAUACUAGUUGCUAUUCUUUUUAUCUUGGUACGUUUCAUUUUUGUUUUAAUGUUUCACUGUCUCUAUAAUUGAUUGUACAAACAUAUCUCAUCAUUCAAUCACUUUUCAAGUUUUAGAUUAUGAAAUUUGUACAUAUUGGGGUUUUCCUUUUUCUUUAUUUUGGAUUAUUUCAAAUCUCCAAAGAUCUUUCUUGUAACAUUUGCAUAUUUUAGUUUGUUAAAAUCUUCGAAAGUAGAGGAGAAGGCUCCAAAAGCAUUCUGUCUCUCAUUGCCUUGCCCUAACAUUAUCAUCUGUGUAAGAUGUGCCAAUGAGUAGACCAUUUUCUUUUACUUUUUUUUCCAUAGCUUUUGAACCACUUUCCCUUUCUCUCCUUCUCUUUCAUUCUUCUUUUAUGUUAAUUGGAAGAAGCUUUGAGGCCUCUCUUGAAAAUAAUGAGGUUUUGAAGGGGAUAGAAAGAGAGUGAUGGUGGGAUCCAUCAAAGGUUUGGGAUUUCACACAAUGUUCGCAUCACUCUUUUAAAUGUAAUUAGAGGUUGAGGAGUUGAUCGCCGAUCAUAGAUAAGGAGGGCUGGUUAGUGGCUUGGAAAAGAAUUCAGACAACAUUAAUUUUUUCUAAAAAAUAAACCAACCUUCCGACGGUUGGUUAACACUCCUCGACAGUCGAGAUAGGGUAAGACUUGUAUUCUGGUUCUGUUGAUACCUAUAUUUGUGCUUCAUCACUUUAUAAUUGUACUUUUAUUUAUCCCCUUUGUAUAUUUCCAUGUGUUUCAUGUUUGUCUUUUAUGUUUCUUCUAUUUAUAUAUUUCUUCAUGUUCUUCUCCAUUCGGGUUUGCUCUUGCGGAGGUUACACAUUCAUUGUUGUGCUGGUACUUUAGUUAAUGAUGUCUAGUAAUUUUUGUUUUGCAAAUUUUCUUGUUAGUGCUCAAGUUUGAUUUCAUACUGCCUUUAGCAUAGCUUUACGACUGCAGAAUUCAAUUGCACAUUGCCCUUUUUUAUUUUGUUAUUACUGAUGGACUUAUUUGUGAUACCUUUAAAGAAGAAAAUUUAUGGCUAUUUGUGUUGAAGUUUAUUUGUUGAUUAUUGGUUGGUUUUUUCCCUCCACUUUUCUUAAUAUUUUGAAGUGUGUAAUAAGGUAAACAACUUUUUAGUCCCCUAAAUUUGUUUUAUUGAUGAAUUGUUUCUUUUUUUUUCUCGGUUUUGUUUUCAGGUUUUCAUCAUUAUUCAUUUGGUGGCUAAAUAUUACUCAUGGGUAUUUGUUCGAUCUUAUUUUGUUGUGAUCAAUUGAUAUACAUAAUAUGCACUAUAAAUUUGUUAAAUUGUUGGAUUAUUUGCUUUUUUAAUAAGGUUGGAGGAACCUCAAGGUACGUUUUGUUAAAGCAUAUUUUAUAUUGAUAAAUUUGAAGUUGUCAAGUCUAUAACAAUGAUAAUGUUAAUACGAGUAAAUUUAUAGCAAAUUUAGUUGACUUAACUUAUUUACAUGCUAGUUGCUCGGACUCUUGGAAAAACCUUACGUGCAUUUUAACCCACGAUAAGAAGACUUAAGGUUGUUAUGACUUACAUAUUAGUUUUUGAGAUUUUCCUUUGUAACUUUUUCAUAGACCUUAUUGUAGUUUUUUGUUCUUCAUUUUUGUUUGUAGGACGUUUCUAGAGAAUGCAAGACCAUGUUUGAGUGAGAAAUUGGUCUCGAUGAAAUUGAGAGUUCAAUGAACAGCACAUACAAUGCAAGUAAAUCUACCUACUCAAACCCAUCUUCUAUUUCUAAAGCAGAAGGGCUUUCAGUGGCUGAAACAAGUGAGUGAUUAAGUUUUUUAUCACCCGUAUUAUUUGUUAUCACUAGGGAAAGAAAGCUGAGUAGAAAAAGUAGAAUGCCAAAUGGAAAAAAAAAGAUUAGUAAGCAGCGUUAUUAUUUUAAAAUAGAAAACAAAAAUUAACAUUAUUGUUAAACCGAGCCAUUCUCGAGAACAUGAAAUAGAAUUGGAUAGCUGCCAUGCAUCGUGUUUAUGAAUGUUAAGAAUGAAACUAUCGUAGGGUUAUAGAAUAAUCAUUCUAUCAGCCUCAAUUAUGAUACAGGGUUUAUGAAAUAGAAUUUUCUUAUGUAUUGUAAUAGUAGAAGAUUCUUCGUCAGGAAGCAAAGCUUAUAGCUUUGAAGAGUAUCUAAAGGUUUUAGAAGAGCAACCGAAAGCUUACGAUUAGCUCCAAACCAAUUUUCCAGCACAAAGCCAGAGUGGAUCCCAAGUACAACGGGAAGGUUGUUAAAAUCAAAUCUCUUAUGUCUUAUUUCAUAAUUAUUUAGUUUUGAUCUUAACUACAACAAUUUUCAUUUUUUUCUAGGUGAGCAUUGUAUGUGCUUAGAAAUUAAGUGUUUUGAAAAUUAGAGGUGAGCAAUCACACUUAGAAACUAAGUGUAGAACCAUAGAAAUGUUACCCCAUCGGUUCUAGCAAUGCCUAGUUACCGCAGUUCAUAACAAAGAAAGAAAAGAGGCUCGUAAAUGCAGACCAUAAAAAAGUGAGACAAUCAACAAUUAUAAAAAAAAACAUAUGCAAUAUGCAUUAAAAAAAGCUCAUAAAAAAUACAGACUCAAGUCGGUUAGGUCAAGUAGAACAUGUUGAGUUCCCUAGCUAUUAGAGCUUUUGGGGGAAAACAUCGCUUUUGGCCUAACCAAAACUAGACCAUCUAUUUUUAGUGUUUUAAACAUAACGUCAAGUUUGAUUGAGGGCUUUGAAAAGAGGAGGAAUCCUCCUCGAUCCACAGUAGGGCAAAAACAAGGCUUGUUGUCACUUCGAAGGGAGCAGUCAAACUUAGCAUUGAGUUUGAUUUUUUUUUUUGAAAAGGUAAUGAUAAUAUUAUACAACAACAAGGUGGACCUCACAGCCUAAGGUCAAGACAAAAGAGCGAACAACACUCAUAGAACAAGUAGUUAGACAAAACAACCCAUAAGUACCCAAAACAACCCCACAUCUCGGGAACAAGAACUAAAACCAAAAGAAACCAACUAGUGUUCCAAACAUUAAAAGGAAAAGAAGAAGAGAGAAAGACAACAAAGUUAAUAAAGAGAAGAGAAACCCCACAGCCCGGGGACAAGCAAACGAAAAGAACAUUAAACAAGACCAUGAACACCAUCCGACCAAGAAGCAGCACGCGCUUUAAUACACGACCGAAUGAGCUGGAAUACAACCAUAGGCUCCCGAAUAGCAACUCCAUGAAGACGAUGAUUUCGCUCCUGCCAAAUGAAAUAAAUUGUAGCACACCAGAGAAGGCGCCACAGUUUUCUCCUCACACUCUUCCCAAUAACCGAUUCUAUGAGAAGAUGACAUAAGCAAAAGGAUCCUCGACCAAACCUCCCACCCAAAAUGACAAAAAAAAACAAAUGAUCACGAGACUCAUAGUUCCCUCCACAAAGCAAACGCGAUAAAGGAAUCGACCUAUCCCACCGACUUAACCUAUCUCUAGUACCCAACCUAUCCCUGAUGGCCAACCAAGCACAAAAGGAGUGCUUAGGAAUAUUUCCCCCACCCCAUAGUAAACCCGACCAACCAACCCUACUACUAUGAGGACGAAUAGUCUCCCACGCACUGGUGAUAAAAAACUAUCAUGACUCCCCGGCACCCAGACCCACCUAUCCUCAACACUCGGACUCGGCCUCACUCCCUGAACCCUAUCCCAAAUGUCCAUCAAAUCCAAAGAAACAAGCGGCCACCUUCAAUCACCAUCCCGACCCAUGAAAUCCACCAGCCUCGCAUCCCACCGACUACCUGCAUCAUAGAUCACCCUCUCCCCAAACUGCUGGAUAAUCGGCCCACCCUGAAUCCAUGGAACCAACCACACUCUACACUUCCUUCCAUUGCCCACCUCCAUCUUAACAUGAUCUUUAAGGAUAUCCCGCUUACGCAAGAUUUCCCUAAAGCACCAAGAUCGACUCACCCCAGCAUCGAUCUCCAAGAGCGAUCUCCCUUUAAGGAUAUAAGAUUCCACCCAAGCAACCCAUAAACUACCAGAUUUAACAAGUAGCAACCAUAAUAUCUUCAACGUGCUUGCUAUAUUCCAAGAAGAUCCAUCGCGAAUAUCAAGACCUCCUUCAUCAAAAGGAAGACAAACCUCAUCCCAGGCAACUUUAGCACCACCUCUUCCCUCCUCGUUACCUCUCCACAAAUAAGCCCUCAAGAUCUUAUCAACGUCUCUGUGGACUUUCAUAGGAAGCAUGAACACACUAGCCCAAUAAACCUGAAGGCUCCUAAGGACUGAGCGAACAAGCUGAAGUCUACCUGCAAAAGAUAACACUCUAGCAGACCAAGACCGAAUACGACUGGUAAUACGCUGAAUAAGGGGAUCACAAUCAGAGCUCCGCAAUCUUCUAGAGAGGAGAGGAAGCCCAAGAUAACGAACAGGGAGAUGACCAAUGGAAAAACCCAUGUUAGCAGCAAGCCGAGAGGCUUUCGAACUAUUAACCCCCACAAGAAAAAUUAAGCUUUUAGCAAGAUUAGCAAACAGUCCCGAAAGCUCACCAAACCUCUUAAUAGUCUCUUUUAUGAAACUCAUAGAAUGAUUAUCAGCAGUACAAAAGAUCAUCAGGUCAUCUACAAAAGUAAGAUGAGUUAAUCUGACCUUCUCACAAAACUAGUGGAAUUGAAAAUUCUGAGGUAGGCUGUUCAACAUGCGAGAAAGCACCUCCAUGACCAUCACAAAUAAGAACGGGGAUAAAAGGUCACCUUGUCUAAGUCCUUUCCUCCCAUGGAAAAAACCUUCCAACGAUCCAUUAAUCAUAAUGGAGAACAUCAGAGAGGUCACACACGCUCGAACCCAACUCACAAAUCUUAAAGGCGUACCUAUGGCAAUCAGCAGGCCAAAGAGGAAAUCCCAAUUAACAUAAUCAUAAGCUUUUUGGAGGUCAACCUUCAUAGUGCACCGAGGUUUACCUCUGUGCAAAUGGUAUGCCCCUACAAGCUCCUGACAAAGAAGAAUAUUGUCAAUAAUACUCCUCCCAGGGAUGAAAGCUGGCUGAUUUCCACUAACAAAAGAAGGAAGCCACACGAAGCCUAUCUGCCAAUAUUCUUGAAAUGCACUUAUAAAUAACGCUGCAACAAGAUAUAGGGCUGAAAUCCUCCAAUCGAUCAGCACCAUUCCUUUUAGGAAUAAGUGUAAUAGCAGUCGUAUUCACCCCUUGAGGGAAGUAAUUGGUCUCAAAGAAGUGUAAGACGACAUCACAGAAACCCUCUCCAACCACCGUCCAAGCUCCUUUGAAGAAGCCAACUGAAUACCCAUCAGGGCCUGGAGCCUUUCCACCAUCCAUGGAGAACAGAACACGUCUCACUUCUCCCUGCCAAUAGGCGACUGGAGGGCCUGACAACACUCCUCAGUCCAUCUAAACUGAACAAUCUCCUCAAUACUAGUAGAGAGCUCUCCAUAGCUAAUAUUCUGAGAACCCAGACUAUCUUUGAAAUAAUUCACUACCACCUGAGUCACCUGAUCAUGGUUAGUCAACCGAUUUCCAUCUGGGUCAAUAACUGAUCUCAAAGCAUUGCUGCUCUGCCUUGAUCGAACAGAUCGAUGAAAAAAGGCAGUAUUCUGGUCAUCUAGCUUCAACCAUCUGGUUCGCGACUUCUGACGCAUAGCGGCUUCCUCCACUCUAACCGCUUUCCAAAAGUUUACCGUGGCUAAGCUCGCGUGAUUACUCGCCUCCUCCGACAGAGAGUUCGUCUCCAUCUCUCUUUCAGCUCGGUCCAUGGUAUCAUUGGCAAGACGAACAUCCUCACUGAUGGUCCGGAUAUGCCUACCAAAAUGUCUGCGAAGAAUCGACUUGAGAUUUCUUAAGUUCCUCACAAUAUUCACAAUUGGAGAAACUCUAGUAUCUUUGGUCCAAGCAGAGGACACAACAUCCAUAAAGGACGCUUCUUGAACCCAAUGGUUAAAGAAACGAAAAGAGACCACUUGUUGGCUUCGCUGAUUACUGGGAUAGACAAGUAUGGAGAAUGAUCAGAAAUACCCCACGGAGGACGUUAACCCUCAUGUUAGGCCAUGUACUAAGCCCCUCAUCAUUCACUAGGAUACGAUCAAGUCUCUUCAUCAAACCCGACCCAUGUAUCUUACUAGUCCAAGUAAACCAGUUCCCCUGGACCGCGUGUUCAACAAGGUCCGCCUCUCGAAUAGCCAUGUCAAACUCCUCCAUAUCCCCACGUUCGAGCACCCCGAAUGCUUCAGACUGGAGUCUGAUGGUGUUAAAAUCACCAAGACCAUACCCGGUCCUCUCCAACCAGCAGAGAUCUCAGCCAUUUGCCUCCAUAAAACACGUCUCUCGAUGUUACUAUUAUAGGCAUACACACACAGAACCUCUACCUUCUCCCAGAGAUCAAAUCUGUUAUUACACCAAAAAUAAACUGGUCGACAACCUCGUUAGUCGUAACACAAAACUGUUACGUUUCCACAUAAUCCACAUUCGACCUGCUCCACUAUCGCUGUAGUUACUAAUGAACCCCACGAAUCACAAAUCUUCUAGAUAUCGAGACAAAGUUCUCCUCUCGAACUCUAGUCUCCAGGAUGCAACAGAAACCCACCGUAGACACAGCUAAGAAGUCCUUCACCGCUCUACACUUUAUAGGGCUAUUAAGGCCCCGCACGUUCCACGUACACCAACUAACCAUGAGGUCGUAUGGGAGCCGCCUCUCCCAUAGGAAUUACAUCACCUGCAGUACUCAAAAGGACCAUAGAAGAGUCAUCUACUCGUAAGGGAGGAGGGGAGGCAUCCACUAUAGAUAAAGGCCAUUUAUCUCCUUUAUCCACCUCCAUGAGGUUGUUAAAGGAGUUAGUGAUACUCACUUCCGCCCUUUUCCCUCUGUCCCAAAUAGAGAUCAUUCCCCUAUUUUUCCUGUCAACUGGGGUAAAUUCCUCCCAAUUUACCUCCACCUUUUCAGCAGUUUAUGGGUAAUAAUUUCUCCUUCUUCCAUGUGUUGGAAGGAUUCCAACACAACAUCUUCAUACUCCCCACAAAUUGGAACCACCUCUUUAGUAGGAACAACCUCUUUAACAGGAACCUCUUUACUUGCAGCUUCCUUUUUACUAUCUUCAUUGCCUCUUUUCUUAGGGCAGGUGUUCUGCGAGUGUCCAAAAGAUCGACACAAGUUACAUUUUUUCGGUUUCCACUCAUAAGUGACAGUUACAAUAAAUUCCUCUCUCUAAGGUUGACUGUUACUUCGGCAGGCAUAAUACUGUCCACAUUCAAUUCCACACAUAUACGGGCAUAAGAAAGACGACGCCUCUCUUUAGUAGCAAGAUCAACUGAAAGAGGUUUUCCUAUUGCACUCGCUACCACAGCCAAACCAGCAUCCGUCCAUAGCUCCAACGGAAUCCUCCCUAACUUUAUCAAAACAUGAACUGAAUCAAAGACAAAGGAUUCAGGAACUAUACCUGGAGUCCAUUUGCGGAGGAGCAUAGGUUUGCCUCCAAGGUGCCAUGGGCCACGGGAUAAAUCCACUCUAUCGACUUCAGAUGUUUGAAUUGAAAGCAGAUGAGCCCAUUCUCCAUCAGAGUAAUUGUUGGCAUUUCAAUUCUACCCCAAAUCUUCUCUAUAAGACGAUAGAUGACUAGAUACAGCAAUUUUGCAUCAAUUAAUUGGCUGACGAGGGAGUUCUCCCACACUCUAACUCCUUGACUAAUAACUUCUUCAAACGGGGUCACCACAAUUUUCUCUCCCACGGUAGUAGAGGUGUAUAGGUCAUAGAGAAACCUCUUGUUGAGCCAAAUAAGGAAGCCCAUGAAUUUUUGCCUGCACCUCCAGAAUUAUUAGAUUUCUGCACCUCAUGCCCACGAAUCGAAACAGGCGGCCCACCAUUUGAAUUAAUACCAAACGAUUCUCUAAUGGCUGGCCCAUCAUUCAAAUGCCCAUCAACCGGCCCAAUCUUUGGGGCACUUGCAAUAGCAUCCAGCCCAGGUCCAUAUCCUUCGGCUGUUGCAAUUUGCCCAACAUGCUGAACACUUGAAGCACCAGCAGGUAAGCACUCCUUCUGUGAGAUCCAGUUUCGUGUGAGAUGGGCGGCCCAUCAUUCAACGAUGGCCCAUCAACCAGAAAUCCAUGACCAAUUCCAUUCGUAAAUGUGUCCACACCAUUCGCUUCAGCCCCUUUACCGGCUCACUGGGCUUCAUCACGUUUUCAUUCAAAACAAUCGGCCCACACGCCUUUGGGCCAACAAUCUUCAUGGGACCAUCUCCGCUCGGUCCAUUUCCUGUAUUUCAGUUUUUAUAUGUUUCACGGUUCACGUAAACCGGUUCGGGUCCACUCAUGUCCGACCAUUUCUUCCUCACAGAAAUUAGGUCAGCCUUUGCAGUCGCCGCCCUUCGGUCGUUCGCCGCCAUAUCAUGUACGCGUUGAAGGCUUGACAUCACACGUUUCUUCACCUCCUCAAUGUCACUGGAUAAUUUCUUCAUCGUUUCAUGCUUAGGACAUCAACCCAACACCCGUGAUGAUCUUUUCGGCCCCAAUCUGGGAACACGAAUGAACUCAAAAAGAAUUGAAAUUCAACCGAGGAGAUUCAUUCGAGAUCCGUUCAGCAAGUGAUUAAAUCACGGUCUUCAAACCCAGAACUGAUAGCAAUAAAUCGAUUCGUACCACACGCAAUACUUUCAAGAUAGUUCAAAUCAAUUCAGCUUGGAAAUCGAUUUAAACAAUUUCUAGACAGACGUUAAUUCUCCCGAAUCAAAACGAAUAUCAUUCGUAAUGGUUCAAUUGAUCAAUUGUAAUCAAUUUCGAAAUGGAUACCAAAUGACAUUAGUUUUCACAUUCAAUCUGCCAACAUUGAACGAAUUACCUUCGAAUUUGAUCCCUUGCUGCGCCGCAGCACUCACCAACGUUCACCUCCUUCACCAGUCGAGUGAGAGAACUUGGAAAUCCUAGAGAGAUGCGUGUGAGGUACACGCGCCCGAGAUGAAAAUUUUUCCUUUUUACUCUAAUUGAGUUUGAUUGUGGGCUUUGAAAAGAGGAGGAAUCCUCUCUGAUCCACAAUAGGGGAAAACGAGGCUUGUUGUCACUUCGAAGGAGUAAUCAAACUUUGAAACUAAGUGUAGAACCAUAGAGAGAUUACCCACCGGUUCUAGCAAGGCCAUUACCAUAUUUCAUACCAAAGAAAGAAAAAAAGGGGCUUGUAAAUGCAAACCAUAAAAAUGUGAGACAAUCAACAACUAUAAAAAAAACAUAUGCAAUAUGCAUUGAAAAAAGCUCAUAAAAAUUUGAAAACACCUAUAUUUAUAACCUAAUUACAAGCAAAAAUGCAUGCAAUUCAUUUGCCAAAUCUCAACACCUAAUGUUCCACUAACAAUUAGUGGAACUUAGUGGGCUAG